GAGAAGGAAGUUCUGAGACAGACAAUUAGGAACCUACUUAGUUAAUUAACUCUUUUAAUAAUAAUUAAAAGAGCAAAAGACAAAAAAGUACUAAACAAAGCUAAAGCACAUAGAUCAACUACUUAAAAGUACCCUAAACCCUAGAACCCCACCUUAAACCCCGCUUAUUUUCCCCUAAACUUAGAUUAGGCUUCCUUCCAUAUCCACAUUACCAGCUGCAUAACACAUAACAAAGCAUCCCCAAAAGCACUUAUACAAGCUAAGUAGAAGUCCUAAUCUCCCUUCUCUUUUAGCACCACAAAGCUUCACAUAAUGUAGCACCCAUUGGGAUUUUCAUCACUGAACAACCCAUAGGAAUCGGACGGCUGUGGUAAGUUGUAGGAUGGCUGAUGAUAUGGAUAGUACGGCUGAGAUGCAUAGUUGUCCAAAUGAUAGGAUGGGGCCUGUGUCUCAGUGAAGGAGUGUGAGUUAGGUGCUGGUGUAUUGUAAUGAGAUGCACCAUAGCCAUUGGUGGGGAAGCCAGCAUUGUAGUGAACAGCUUGCAUUGGAGGGCUGUACCUUGGGUAUUGGUACUCAUACACAUGUUGCUGUGGAGGGCUAUGAUUGGCUGGAGCUGGAGCAAUGUGAUUGGCUGGAGCUGGAGCAAUGUGAUUGGCUGGAGCUGGAGCAAAGCUUUGUCCAUGAGGACCAUAGGGUGGACCACGAGGCCCAUGGGACCCAUAAGGCCCAGUAGGCCCAGUAGGCCCAGUAAGCCGAAAAUGCCCUUGAGGCACAUAGGGGCCCUGACCCUGAGGCACAUAGGGGCCCUGACCCUGAGGCACACGUGGGCCACGUGGAUCCUGAGGAACAUGGGGCCCACUUGGUCCACGUGGCACAUUGCCAUGAUUUGGUGAUCCAGUGCUUGGUGGAGCAGCAACACAUUCUUCACCUUCAUCCUCUUCAGCAUUGGCAUUCCCCUUUGGCCCCUUCUUUUUGUUAUUUUUACUUCCACCGCCGCCACCUCCACCACUUUUCUCAACCUCGCAAUCACUUUCACCGCCCUCACUUUUCUUCUCGGCAACCGGUGGAUGGUUUGGUAAAUUCCCACCCUGCCUCACCACCUCAGGCUUUGACUCUUUGACUUGCCCACCGCCGCCAGUUUUAGCGGGUGCGCCACCACCUUCAUUUGGUUUGACCAUAUUGCCCCCAUCAGCUUUCUUAUUACCAGCCGGGCCACCACCUUCAUUCUUUUUCUUGUUCCCAGAGCCUUGAGCAUGACCAACUUCAACUUUGACAGUCUCCUUUUCAUUGUCACCACUACCUCCAGGGCCACCGUGGUUGCUUUCCUCGCAGCCUUCACAGUCACUUUGCUGUUUCUCUUUGUUUUUCCCUUUACCUUUCUUUUUUUCGUUUGAAUUGUUAGCUUUCGGGUCAGGCCACAGCUCUGCAUGUUUCCCUGACUUGGUCAACUUCUUGAUCAAAGUCUCUGCUUCCACAUUCCCUGUUACUGUGAGUUUUUGCUGCCUCAUGUCCACCUCUGUUUUGUAAACCCCUGAAAACAACAAAGAAAAUCAGCAACAAAACAGUACAUGUUUUUCACGAAAGCUUCGAUAUUUGAAAGUUGAACGGCAAGACCAACUGAAAAGAUAAUAAAACAGGGGAAGAGAAGAGCUCAUAAAUUUGAAGUAUGAGGAAAAAGAAUGAGAUGCAUGUCAGAAAAACAACGAAACUCUGAAAUCGAAGAGACCAUAUAAUAAAACUUGACACUGAUGCUUCAAGAAUAUCAGGAAUGGAGGGUUAUACCUUCCAUUUGUUUUAAGCUUUUGUUGAUUUUCUUCUUGCAGCCUUCACAGUGAACAGAGACUCUCAAAACCCAUGUCUGCAAAACAGAGAAGAAGAUGUUAGAAACAUGCAAAAGUCGAAACAUUUUUUGGAAAGAAUAAGGUUGGUGUUCACAGAAGUUAACCAUGGCUUCAUUUAAUACCUUGUAUUUUAGAGGAGGCUGAGAAAUUUCUUCAAUUUCUUUUGGUUCAGCUUUGGCUUCUGCCUUGGGUUCAGUUGUUGUUGCCAUUAGGAAAGAUUGACAGAAAAAGAGAGAGCACGCUUUGUAUAGAAAGAAAGAAAGAGCUAGAGAGAGAGCUUGCAAUGAGUGCGGCAAGUGUCAACUGGGAAAACUUCACAAGGAAGUGAGGUAUUUAUGGUGGGGAGGAAAGAUCUAGUGACUGGAGGGGAAUUGAGUAGCACAGUGGAAAAUACAGUGGGGUCCUUGAAGUUGGUGCUGGGUGGGGUGGCAUUUCUUCUUUUUAAAUAUUUUCUUUACAAUAAAUUUUAGUACAAUAUAAAUUAAAUUGAAAUGAAAGAUUAUAUAUACUUAAUUGACACCUAUCAAUAUAGGACUUGAUGCCUCCUGCUAGCUAAGAUUACUGGCAUUUGGAGUUUUAUAAUGCCAAAUCAUAGAACUUUAUUGAUCUGAGGAAGGCUCAGCAAAGUAACCAUUCAAUACUCCCAGCUAACUCCAAAUCCCCUCUCUUUUUUGUGUAAAAUUAUAAUCAAACAUUUGAGUAUGUAGAUGUAUUCAUAUGGCUCUGAUGUGAAGAUUCUAUCUUUUAUGCUUCUGGUGUUUUUUAUCCUCUUGGGUUUUGGGAAAAACUUACCUGAUGAUCAUUAUGCUGGAGAUAGCAACCAAAAUAAACAAACCCAAAUGACACUUUUUUUUUUAUUUUUAAUACAGCGAUAUUCUACAUUACACUAAUUUAAAUUAGGAUCAUGCUAGGGAGAAUCAAAUGACACUUCUUGUUGCUAAGUAUGGAGGUGAAAUGCAGGGGGAAUUUUUCUAUGUACCAACUUCUUGUUGUGGGUUAGUGGCAAACUUCCCCAGAAAGUUAAAGAACUGCCUUCAUGCAUCUAGAUUUUGAGUUGUGUUUUAUUUUCCAAUUGGUUGGUCUAAAGAAAAGGAAAAAGGGUACGAUUUUACAGAAUAAUAAACAAAACAAGAAGCUUUUUAAAAUGGAUUGCUUCAUUUGGUCCCUAUGGGCUGUAGCUGUAGGAAGAACUUUCCAAUUACAAGGCAUUCAGAAUAAAGCUAGCCUUUAUUUAACUGUUAAAAUAGUGGUUCAGUUUUUUUCUGCUUUUAAUCUGUUUUUUUUUUUCUUUCUAAAACAAUUUGUCAUAACAAAGCAAGAAUUAGCAUCUCUGAAUAAUACGCAAGAAACUUAAACACAACUUCAUCAGCCAAACAGGAACUAAAACCUUGUUGAUAUAUAUUCUAGUUUGCAACUGUACAAGUGGAAAAUUGAAAUGAAACGAAUAAACUCAUAGCAUUUGUAUGAAUCUGAGAUCAUUAGGUUUUCAAAAAUUCUCCUUGUGGAAAUCAAACUUGGUCUCAGUUUUCCGGGAAAAGUCUUGAGAUAGCCUCUUUAACUCCCCGACUAAUCCAUGUGCACCACAGUAAAAUACUCCUGCAACAAAAGGACAAAGCAAAACCAAAUUAAUAUACAAGACAUUUAUAAUAAAAGCAAAGCAAGAAAAACGAUUCUUUUUACUCCUUAGUUUUGCUAGAAAACAGAUAAAAAAGACAGAGCUUAUUAGUCCAUGUAUGGUCAUUUUGACCAAGUUUUAAAAAUUUCGAAAUUUCAAGUUAAGGGUUCAAUUCUCUUUAAAGAUUAAAACUUACCAACUCGUUGAUUCGUGUGCUUAACAGCUACAUGCUUGAAAACGUUGCGCCAAUUUGGUCUAGCAAAAUGCGUCUUAACCCUAGUCCCCGAAACUAUGUCGACGCCAUUUUUGGCAUGGUUAAGAGAUUGAAGCAUUGUAAUUAGGGCUGAUCGAGCAUCUCCUUCUUCAUACACGCUUGUGCAGUAGUUGUGGAGCUCAAUGACACCAUCUUUGUCAUUUUCAGCCACCUCAUCCAUCACACCCCUAAACCACUCAAACGAGCCUUGCUCUCUUGUGAUCCAAUAGAAGUAAGCUCGUUUGGUGACAAAAGACUUUCUUUUGUUGUCUUUGUUAUCACCAUUAUUCUCUACCAUAUUCCCUUGAUGAUCUUCUGUUUCCUUUUGUUGCUUAAUGUUGGUAAGCACAUCUUUGACUAUGCUAAUCAGAGGAGUGGCCCCAAUUCCUAGGCCCACAAGUAGAAGGACUUCGUACUCUUUGUAGUCUUGUGCUGGAGCACCAUAGGGACCAUCAAUUAGGAGUCUUGGCAUCCUGCUAAUACAUACUUCAAAUUAAUAAUUUAAUAGCAUUUGAAAACCCUCAUUAGAGUUCAAUGUCCAUGGACGGUUGAGAUUCACACGCAUCAAUAAUUGACAAUCACGAUUCACUGUUCGAAAUGAAAUACAUACCUAAGUUUCACAUUGCCAGGUGCAAUAUCAGCUCUUAGAAGGCCACUUUGUUCGCUAGAUGGAGGCUGACAAACCUACAAUCAUAUUCCAAAAUUGAGGUGCCAUAUACAAAACUAUGUACCACAAAUUAACCAUGUUCAUGCAAAUGAAUUUACCUUAGAGAAAAUGGAUUUGAGCUGCGAUGUCCAGUCACCUAAUGUUCGAAUAUGUAUGCUUAGGUAAUCAUCUCCAGGAGCCGAAGUAAUUGAGAAAGGAUGCCUAUAAAAUACAUUAAUUAUGAUAAUUAAUGACCUGUUAUUCUACUAAUUAAAGUGGUACUAAAUAAUAAUAAUAAUAAUAAUAAAAACUAAUAUUUAAUUACCAUUGAAAUGGGGAAAUAGCUGAGCAAUUGACAUAAAUAUAUUGGCCACUAGUGUACUUAAACCCCUGUGGUGUUGACAUAUGCAGAGCCAAAACAUUUCCUGGGUAAACUGCGACCUGAAAAACAAUAAAGGAUUUGACCAAAAUCUUUAGCUUCUCGAUAAAGAAAAAUGCAUCACCCCAAAAGUGGAGAAGAAGCUGAUCAACUUUCGGCACUCAGACUAGUACCUUCAAGAUCCUAACAGUUUUAUAGCCAGACCUGAAUGCGCGAAUUAAGCGUUCACAUGCAUAGAGUAGGAUUGGGACUGCCAAAUACAUCCACGUCUGUGACAAUUCAUGAACAGAGCAAGGUUAUGAAAUCAGAGGAAAAAAGCAAAGCCCUGCUGCCACCAGCCUUCAAAUUUAAUCUCUCGCGUGCUAGCUUUAACUUGGUCAGUGAAGGUGGAGGAUGGUACGAUUUAAUUUAAGAAUCACUUACAGUUUUUUUGUCCCAAUUCUUGGAGAGGUAAAGAAAGUAUCCGUGGAUGAUAAAGAGGAUGUAGACUAUAACAAAUAGGUGGUGUGAGUACCAAAAGGCAUUGAACCCGGUUAGUCUUUUUAGGGUUUUGGGGAGGUUGAGCCGAUUGCGACGGAACCAUGGUUGUGCUAAUGUGUAGGCCACUAUCAUUAGUGCCACCAUCACCACCCCGGUCCAGCCUUCCGUGCCCUUUACGAACCACCAAUAGUUGUCUGGCCUUUUGUUGCCAAAAAAUGGCUUCAUUGGGUCGUAUUCGUCAUCGGUCGAGUGUAGUAGCCUAGGGAAGUCACAUGUCAAAUGUGACCCUGCAUGUAGACCUACUCCGACUAUAAUCCCAAAUGCAAUCACCUAAACAAAUUUUAGAAUAAUCAUAUAAAUUAGAUAAUAACAUAUAUCAUAUUUACUGAUCACAUUUUGAAUUUUGUAGCAUGAUACCUUAUGAAAGUUGAUGUUGUCAUCAAAGGGAACUAUAACCCCUAACUUGGUCUUGCUCCUUAGCCAAGUAAUUGUAUUUCUACAAACUGGUAGAAGAAUUAGGGCCAUGUUGAACUUGAGGGUCUCAGCUCCACCCUUGGCUAUGGACACGCAAUAGCCCAUUACAUCGAAGACAGCCCGAUGCUUAUACUGGAUGAAUUUCCAAGUGAAUAGGCCCAAACAGAUCAAAAUCCAUAGGGCAAUGACCCAAAUUCGCUUCCAAUUGUCCUCCAUGAAGUAGGCCAGCCUUUUGUACCACCGCCGUAUAGGGUUGUGCUCUUUGGUUGGGACUAGCUUUUGGCUAAGCAACUGGCUCUGGAUACCACUGUCCGUGACGAGGUUCGUUGAUUGAGUUGGGCCUUGGAGAAGUAGCAUUUCCAAAUUGUACAACUGCAAUUAAGGCCCAAAUUGUUGUUAUGUUAGAGAGAUUUGUGAUUCUAAGGCCACCCAACUCCAAAUACUUAUGGGCCAAUUGGGACUAUCUUGGCCCAAUUGGGUUUGGACCAGAGCAGGCUGAGCCCAAAUUGCAAGCAAAUUCAAGACUUGAAAAUGAAAAGAUGUUAACCUCAAUAUAUCCAAUGUUGUCUGGGUCGAGCUCUUCCAUGAUCAAUGCUGCAUAUUCCUCAACUCGUUCUUGAAUUUGUGACAGCCUAUUAGCACAGGCACUUAAGGAAAUAAUCUGAAAAUUAAACAAAUAUAAUAAUGUUUAGUUUCGUUUUUAAUAUAAACAAAACAUAGAAUCAAAAUGGUCAACCAUUUGAAUUUCCAAAGAACUCUACCUCUUUCACCUCUUCUUCUGUGAUUCGACCGUCUGCAUUUUUGUCCACCCUUGAUUCACCACCAUGCACGUGUUAGCUAGAGACAAUGGAAAAAACAAAGAAUUCCUACAUACCUAAUCUAUUAUAUUUUUCUUUUUCAACCUUAGUCUUAUCUAAAUGCCCUUUAUUAAAUUAUAUUUAAGCAGAAUGAUUGAUGUUAUGAACACAUCAUCAUCAUCUCAUAUGGGCUCUGUCUGCACAUGAUCAGCUAGCUGUGGGCAAUAAUUGUAUUGCCCUUGCGACACAAUGGCUAGGCUAACAAAAUCCUUUUUUUUCUUUUGCCCCUAAAUCAAAGGGAUAGACACAGUGAAUAAUGAAGUAAGCCUCACAUGUCAAAGAAGGUUUGUAGCCUGGCAUCAAAGCUGAUAUCUGAAAUCUGCUCCCAAAAUUCUCUCAACUCAUCCUUGCUCACACAACCUGCUGUUAUGCCUCUCCGACGAGCCAACGCGUCGAACAACUCGCCAGCGAACUCACUCGACUCGUCCAUCCCUAUCACAAAACGACACCGUUUAUAACUUUCAAACAAUGUUAUUGUAGUGCAUAUAUAAAACAAUGUGACAAGGUGUGACAACAUUUCGUACCUAUACAUUGAGCAAACCGCAACUUAGGAAGAGUGCCAUCGACAGCCAAUUCAUCGAACCUUGUUUCGAUUUCUGACCAGCCUUCGCUGCCUACAUUUUUGGUCAUGAAUUUGAGCCCCUUGAGUGCACGAGCAGCCCCGGACUUGGUCCUAUCGACCCUCUUGAAGCUCUUGGAAGAUGUCAUGCGCUUCAGUUCCUGGGACACUUGUCUCAAUCUGAACGAGAGUUGGGAGCCAAGAGAAAGCGAUGAAGCCCUUCUCUCUAGCUUGCUCGCUAGCAUUGCAGUCUCAGAGUCGCCUCCUCUGAUGUUGUGCACCAAAACGGUGUCGUCACGAACAUCCAAUGUGAUUUCAACGUAGCAUUCUUCUUGAUCGCUGCUCUUGGACCUUGCACUUCUUUUGCUGCUGUUGUUCCUCUUGUUGGUCACUAGGGGUCCGCUUAACGGACCGCUAUGGCCAACCCCUGUGCUUUCUGUUUCGGACAACGAAUCGCAUCGGUGUUCUUGAAUCUCCAUUGCUGUUGGAAAAUCAGUACAGAAGAAGGUGCUUGUUUUCCUGGGAAAAAAAAAACCAGUUUGGAAUUAGCAGGGUGACAAUAUGCUAGUGAAAAGACAACACUGCACCCAAUGAAUAAUAUGCUAUGCAAGGGCAUUUUUGCCUUACAGGAAAGAGUUUCUUGGUGUUGCUGUCAGCUAAUAUAACUUGGGAAUGAGGAAGGAAAAGGUUGAGAAUUAUAAGUUGGGGUCAGAUUUGGAGGGGAUAUGGAAACUUGGAAAUGGGAAGGGGGUUCAUAUAUUAAAAAAAAAAAUUGAAUGGUGGCUGAAACAGGGGAGAUUGGAGAAGUCAAAAAAAGAGAGAAACCAAACCAGGGGGCGCAUCUGGGUUGUUUGUUGUGAACUUGUGAGUGCUGCUAUGCUAGUUGAUGAAAUCAUGGGAGUUGUUAGACUUCAAACAUAUGACACCAAAAACGUCAACGCGACAAUGUGAGAAUUGAACCCGUGAACUUUAACCAACUUGAAGAAAAAAAAAUACUACAAAGCCUUCGUUAUGGUGCUAGAUUAAUCAGUUUGUGCAAGUCAACUUCAACUUUCAGUACUUUUUAAAUUUUUUUUACAGUAAGGUAUGCGAUUUUGAAUAAAUAUCGAUUCAAUCCAAACCGUGCUCAAGCGUGUAAAUUAGUAAUCAUUUUAGCUGCAUAAUGGAGGGUGACGAAAAGAUAAAGAUAUAUAAGAAAAUUUGUAAUGCUAAUUGCUAUCAAGGUCAAAAUGAGUGCGUAACAGUAUGUUAAGAUAUAGCAGAAUAUUAUUGUGGUUUGAUUACCCCAUAAUAUCUUAAUAAGGAGAAGAUUGAGAUUAGAGUAGCCAAAAUUGACAGAAACAAAUAAUUAUAUCUAUCCAAGUCAGUUCAUCCUCGUGUAUUUCGCAUGGCACAUGUAAAAUACCAGUUAAUACCCAAAAUUCACUAAAGUAACAUUGAAAGUGUUAUAUAAUUACAGAAUGACAAAGAUAUCUAAUUAAUAUUAUACAAAUAGUAGUAUCAUAAUCUGGGAAUAAAAAAAACCUUCAAAAUUCUACAUAUAUCAAGUCAACAAAUAAUUGUAAUAAUAGAGGGGAAAAAAGACAAUAAAUAAUUGGGCCCUGCAUGAUGCGUGAAAUGAGCUUUUCCAUCCUCAAAAUUCUAGCAUGCUCCUUUUUAUUAAUCCAAAUAUGCUUAGUUAGGUCUAACAACCAAGUACUAAAAUGAUCUUUCGCAGCAAUGGACUUGGAGUUAAAGUGGUUAAGAGCAUCUACUCUUGUAUUCGAGGUCUUAGGUUCGAUUCCUCCUUCUUUAAAUAUCGCUUGUAUCAACAAAUUAUUUAAAUCCUUAGCUUUACUACAACUAUUUGUGAGUGCUCAAUCACAAUCAUACAAAGAAAAACUGAUAGGGUCCUCCUUUUUAUUUGGGGACCAAAGAAAAAAUGUUGAUCACGUUUUGAAAAUUUACAACUAUGAAUGACUUAGUAACGCAUGAAAAAGUGCAUGGUAGGUAAAAAAGCAUAUGAAUGAUGUGUUGGCCAAUGAAAUAUCAAAGUAAAAGUAAAACUAAAGCAGAAAAAAGAUCAAAGUAAAAGUAAAAGCAAUUAAAUGUUUAUUUUAAUAUAACAAUCACAAUGAAUUUGGUUUGAUUCGUUUCAAACCGAGCCCGACACUCACGAUCAUAUCAAAGAAAAAAAUGAUUUAUGAAUAUUAAAAUUAGACAUCGAUGUAGUCAUGUGUACACAUUAAUUAUUAUUUAUACGAAUUAGAAUUUCCUUGGUCUAUCAAACCAAAUAUUUGUACAACUUCCUCAAUUUCCAAGGACUUAAUAUUUUUUGGAAUCAGCCAGCCAAAAUUAAGCUUUGGCUAAUCUCAGUCAAAAUGGUGAAGACGGUGAUAAAGUUAAAAACUAGCAAACAAGGAAAAAAGAAGAAGGGCAGAUAUAUAUGAGGCAGAGGCAGAAGCAGAAGCAGACUCUUGGUUUAGAAAGCGGCACCUGCAAAAUGAGGCAGAAGCAGACUCUUGGUUUUCCAAAAGCAGUCAAAAUUUGAAGACACUUUGUUGGACUUUUACGAGUUAAUCUUCUCCACAUCACAGAAAGAAAUUACAUUGGAUGGAAGAAGAACAUGUCAAAGCAAGUCACUUCAGCUUAUAAUUGGGCCACGGAUUAAGCCCACAUCCCUUACAUUUGAGUUCAAGAAUGAGAGAUUUGAUUGCUUUAAACAGGCCCAGAUUGGAUACAAGUUUCGUUUGGAGUCCUUAUAUGAUGCCUUUAAGUUUUUGUACCCUUUGUCUCUGGCCUCAUCUCCCCUGUAUGUUGUAGGAUCAAUCGAUGGUUCAUGGCUUCAACAGAAAGGGUUAGGACCAUAAGAGGGUCACUCAAAUCAAUGUUGGUAAGGGAUGAUGAAUUGGGAGCUGUCGUAAUGAAGGGAUUAUGUUACCGGGUUCAAUCCGGUCAUUCAAUAAUAACUCUCUAACUAAUUUGAUGGCUAUUAAGGUCUCCCUCGUUGAUUAUUAACUAGAAAAGAAAAUUGUUUGUGUGAUUUUUUUUGGUGAACAAAUUGUUUGUAUGAUUGAUUACAUGUAACAAUGACUAAUGCAGCUCGGGGUUUUUAACAAAUCUACCAUCCAGUCUGAUUAGCUUGGAUUGGACCCAAUUCAGUAUUCUGCCAGCUUUUGGCAGAAUGGAACCGUAUAUCUUGUUUGUCUUGAGAUAUCAUAUAGACAAGCUGCUAUGGCCAAUGGGACAAUAAUGGUAGUAGAAAGAAAGGAAUGUAGAUAAAAGUGAAAACCAGUCUAAAACUAUACACAGUGAAAAAUAAUGUACAAGUUGAUCGCAUCACAGUGAGCUCAAGAUUUUGACUGAUUUUUUGUUUUGAUACAAGUGAUAUUAGGAGCCGAAUAUCGAACCUAAUGCCUUAAAUGUAUAAGUAAAUAUUCUUAACCAUUUAAGCUACAAAUAACUUGCAUUGAACUAGUUUUUUAGUUGAAUAACUAAUCAAGAGUGAGAUUCUGCUCUUCGCAAAAUGGUUGGUAACAAAAUGGUUACAGGCCAUUGUUCACAAGAAGACAGUAAGUGGUACAUGAUAAGGUCCCCCAUUGCCUAGUGUCUGAUUAAAUUCUAAGCAACCGCUCAGCCAAUUACUAACGACAUGCAGGUAGUCAGUUUGAGUCUCUUUCUCUCUCUCUCUCUCUCUCUCUCUCUCUCUCUCUCUCUCUCUCUCUCUGUCUGUGUCUCUGGGGGGGUGUUAGGUGAGGGGACAACACAGACGCUAAUGACUAUGAAAUUAGGUCAUGAAAUAUGAAAUAAUCUCACCAGAACUUUGGUUGCUACUCCAGAAAGAGCAACUAUUAAACAGUACGACCUAGCCACUUAAAGUAUGAGAAAGGGACAAGCAACUGCUAAUCAAACUUUAGCCUCCCCAUAAUUUUACAAAAGAUCAAAGAUCUUAUAGAUUUUCACUUUUGGAUGUUUUGCUUUUGGUUUCUCUUAUAAACAAACAAAGACCACAUGGGAAAGUGAUGGUCCCAUUUGUGCAUACCUCUCUGCAAUUAUGAGGGUUGGAGAGAACUGGUAGUAAUUUAUCAACCUUCUAAAUAGUUAGGCAAGGACCAACAAAAAUGGGACCCAUCAGGACUUGUUUUGAUUUGAUGACUUUUAGAUACUAAAAAGCCAUUUUCAAGUGCAAAUCCCAUGACCCAAUUUGCAUGUAAAGGCCCUUCAUGAAAGUCAUCACUGAAACUGAGAGAAAAAUGAUGAUGACAUGAGUGGUAAUUUAUGAGUAGCAGAAAACAUGUUCACCUUUUCUCUAGCAAAAAAUGCAUUUAAAGAAAAUAAGACAAGAACAAAUGGUGUCAAAUUAGGAUUUAGAACAUCCUUGAAAGACAAUAUAGAGAUGCUUUUGCAGAGGUAUUUAUGGAGGUGAGAGGAGAUAAGAGUGCAUGAACAGGGAAGUAAAGAAGGGCCAGCACAACUUCAACUGCCAGGCUCAGAGGUUCCUUGGAGUAGCAUUUAAGACUCUCUCUCUCUCUCUGUGCACUUGAUCUUCAUUGCACACCACCUGUAUACUGAUAUACCCACCCAAAGGUCCUUUUACAAAGAAAAAAAAGAAGAUGAUGUAUAAACAGAAAGUUAGAUUGGUGCCUUGAUGGUUUUUGGUUGAGAGAGAAAAAUGGGAUACAGUUUUCAGAUUCUCCACAUGAUUUUCAUCGUAUCUUUUUUCUUUUCAUUACCCAAUGCUCACAUUAUUACUGCUGAUGCUUUACCAGAUGCAGCAAGGGACUUCAGUGUUCAUGGCCUACAACAAAUGUCUUCCAUGGAGGACAAUAUUGAUGGGAUCCAAAGCCUGCACAUUGGGAAAGUUUCAGGGGAAGAUGAGAAUAAAGAGAAUGCAAUCUCAGUUGUGGAAAAGUUCAGAGCUUUACUUGGUUUGAAGAGCUUCCAAAAGAAAAUGCCAUCAGUUGGUGACACUGAAAAUGUGUCUCCAUCACCUUCUCCAUCACCCUUCAGUGAAGCUGAGGCUCCAAGUCCUGCUCCUGCUCCUGCUCCUGUGCUGCACAUCCAUGCACAUUCACAUCCUCCACAUCGCUUGCACUCAAUCCCAAAGCCUCACACAAUUCCAAGGGAGGAUAAAGGCAGAAUCACAAGGAUACUUGUAGCAGUUCUUGUUUCUGCAGGGGCUGCCACUGUGAUUUGUGUCCUUAGCCUCAUUUGGGCUUGCAGGAAGUACAAAAAAGCCAAGAAGAAACCCACAAGAGCUAUUUCAGUGUACAGCAAAAAGGGAGGAGCAAGAGGUGGAUCAAAGUAUGGUAGUUCCCAAAAAUCUGCAAGCAAGGUGAGCUUAAACCCUGGCACCACUGAUCUCAUGUAUAUUGAAUCAUUAAGCAUGGAUUUAGAGCAACAACAGCUUUCGUGUCCCAAGGAAACAUGUGAAACUGUAAACACAUCACCAAAUCUUAGCACAGCAAGAUGUACAUUGCGUGAGAGGGAAGAGUCAAACCAAGAACUGGUAAAAUCAGAAUUUGAUGACAAUGCUAGUAGUAGUUCUUCCACAAGGGAAAUUAUGUCUGUUCAUGAGGAUAUUGCAGAGCCAAUCAAAUAUGAAUCUAAUUGUGCUAAUUCCCCAACUAGGGAAAAAGUUAUUCCCAUUGAUUCUUAUUCCUCUGAAGAUGAAUCAUUCCAUUCUUUUGGAGACUCAAAUUCAUCAAAUAUCCGGCUUUCGAAUGCUUCAGCAGGUACUCUAGGUGAUGCAUCAGACAUUCUCUCCACAAAUGUGUCAAACAGAGAACCUUGUUUAGCACCCUCUUUUAUGAACUUACCAGAUCAACCAGCAACCCCAAACCAAAACCCAACUCCAGUUCUGGAUUUACUGUCUCCAAGAAAUGCAGAACACAAGAUACCAACUGCACCAUGCUCUUUCAAUUGUGAAAAGAAUUUCACAGCCCCUCCAGCACCACCCCCUCCACCCCCACCCCCAAUCAUACAUUUUCCUCAUUUCCAUCUUUCUUCUAGUUCAGCUAGAAUUGCAUCCAAAGCUUCAUGCUCUUCUUCUACAUUGCCAAAUCUAUCAUCUCCAAGACAAUCAGAUUCUUCUUCUGGAUCAAACCAAACCCCAGAAGGUGGAUUUUCGGUUUCGCCUCAAAACCCCUCUGGACCUUCAGAAACUCCACCUCCUAUUCCUCCACCACCCUGCCCACCUCCCUUUUCAAAAGUAAUUAAUAGCUUAUCCAGAGGUCCACCUCCUCCGCCACUCCCUCAAUCUACACCAUUGGGAAAAGAUGGAACUCCAUUGCCUAAACUGAAGCCGUUGCACUGGGAUAAAGUUAGAGCUGCACCUGACCAUUCUAUGGUGUGGGACAAACUGAGAUCAAGCUCAUUUGAGUAAGUGACAUUAUGUUGUAGCUUACAAUUUGUCUUCCUCCUUUUCUGUUUAAAUCUGAACAAAUCAUGUGUCUUGAAACAGGUUGGAUGAGGAAAUGAUUGAGUCACUUUUUGGGUACAAUCUACAAGGCACAAUGAAGAAUGAUGAAGCAAAAAGCAAGAGCCCUUCUCCAAGCAAGCAUGUGCUUGAGCCAAAGAGACUACAAAACAUAACCAUACUCUCAAAAGCCCUGAAUUCUACUGCUGAGCAAGUAUGUGAAGCACUUCUACAAGGUAUGCAACUCCUAAUCUUACAUAACCUGUACCAUAAACAAUCAAAAUCAAGGGUCUGUCAUGAAGCUUUGAGGUUAUCAGAAAGUAACAAUUUGAUAUGAACCAAAAUGAAAUUCUAUAUAAAUGUCCUGUGAAGUACCUGAAGUCCUAUUGUUGGCAUUUGGAUAGGUCCGAUAGGCUCAUAAUUGCCUAGCAGGGAAUGAUCAAAGAUAAAUGCCCUCUACAUUUCUAGCCAACAUAUUAUAAACUUCAUGUCAUUUAACAACAUUAAGAUAUUAACAGGAAACGGCUUGGGUUUACAACAACUGGAAGCACUUGUAAGGAUGGAACCCACCAAGGAAGAAGAGGCUAAGCUCUCUGGCUACAAAGGAGACAUCAAUGAACUAGGAUCAGCAGAGAAGUUUGUGAAGGCAGUGCUUAAAGUACCCUUUGCCUUUCUACGAGUCGAAGCGAUGCUUUACAGAGAAACCUUCGAAGAUGAGGUGGUUCAUCUCAGGAACUCCUUUUCAGUGCUAGAGGUAACCACCAAACCACAUUAUGCAGCAAGAAGUACAUUUGAGCACAAACUAAUCUCUUCCUUUUGUUUAAUCAUAAUAUUAUAGGAGGCCUGCAAGGAACUGAGGUCAAGCAGGCUCUUCUUGAAGCUACUCGAAGCGGUGUUGAAAACAGGCAACCGUAUGAAUGUGGGAACUAUCAGAGGAGGUGCUAAAGCAUUCAAGCUAGACACUCUCCUCAAGCUCUCUGAUGUAAAAGGAACUGAUGGAAAGACUACCUUGUUACAUUUUGUUGUCCAAGAAAUAAUAAGGGCAGAAGGGAUCAGAGUCUCAGAUAGCAUAAUGGGGAGGAUCAGCCAGAAAAACAAAAUCAUAACUCUAGAAGAGAAGGAAGAAGAUUACAGAAGAAUGGGGCUAGACCUUGUUUCUGGUCUCAGCACUGAGCUCUACAAUGUGAAGAAGACAGCUACACUAGACUUAGAUGUUCUUGCAAGCAGUGUCUCAAAUCUAUCAGAUGGGAUGGCCAAAAUAAAACAUCUAAUACACAAGGAGCUAUGCAUGGAUGAAAAAAGUGGGAAUUUGAUAAGUUCCAUGAAAUCUUUCAUAAACUAUGCAGAGAAAAGCUUGAAAGAGUUGCAGGGUGAUGAGAACAGGGUCCUGUCACAUGUGAAAGAGAUCACAGAGUAUUUUCAUGGGAAUGUGAGCAAAGAAGAAGCCAACCCACUUAGGAUAUUUGUGAUUGUUAGAGACUUUUUGGGCAUGUUAGAUCAUGUUUGUAAAGAGCUUAGGAGCUCAAAAGCCGCACGUACUCCAAAUCCUCUUGCUCCAUUCCGAUAGAUUUUAUUGUUUGAUGUGUUCAUAAGAUGCAAGCAUUCUAUUCUUUAAGCUGGUUUUGAAUAAUUUCAAUUGAAUUAGUUACUUUACCUUAAGGUUGUGCUGGGUUAAAUUUGUUAUCCAACCCGUGAAUAUGUAAAUGUGGAAUAUGCCAAUUGAUUAGAUAAAAUAAAGACGAAUAAUCCAUAAAUUUUUAAUGUUACAAUCCAAAUAUCUCAUCUGAACCCCUGAGUACGCAAAUGUGAACUAUAUCAGUUAAUGAGAGGAGUGUGUUCACCUAUUUGCAUAUGAGUUUGAACCCUUUCCCCGUAGAUUAGGGUAAUUUGGAAUAUCGACUUGUCACGUGACGUCAUGUUGGAUAGGUUUGGGCCUACAUAAUGUCAGCGAUCAUGGGCCAAAGCAACACAAAGGAAUUGUAGUCCAGCUCAGCCCAAACUCAAUGACCCUAUUGGGCCUUUUGACAGCUGAAACAUGCCCCGAGCUUCUUAUUCUUUCAGACAAUACCCAAUUUAGCCUUCAACCGGCAUUUAUCCUCGCGCCUUUUUCCCCUUCUGCACAAUUCAAGAAGCAUCCGGAUUUCAUCAGAACCCACGUGUCAACUCCAAUGGGAGCUUUGACAUGUCCCGGUCGCAAGGCAACAACAAACGCUGAUGCAAAUUUGAUGACGUGGCGCAUCGCCACUGGAUGGAAUACGCAUGACGAAAAAUAGAACCGAACCAAGGCCAAACUGUAUAAAUACGAACCCCUGAAGCUCAGCUCCUUCAGUCAGCUGAAGUUCGGACAAAAUCACAAACGCAAUAUCAAAAAGAAGGCCAAGAUUUACGGAUAAAGCGCAGCAGAUUAUAGAGAAACUACGAGAAACAAAGCAAUGGAGGUGAAGAAGAUCCAAGCAUUGUCGUUCACGUUUCUGCUUCUCUUUAUUUCAGGUACCAAAAUGAUCAAAUUAAGCUCAAUAAAAGUUCUCUGCUAGUUUCUUAACACAGUUGAUAAUUUUAAUCUUUGAAAAUUUGAGCUUUUGGUUAGUCUCUGUCACUUACAACUCUUGUUACGUUAAAUUUGCUGAAGAAGUUGAGAUUCUUUUAAUUUUUGCUUGGCUAGAAUUCUUGUGUGGAAUAGCAUCGGCAGCCGGAGGUUCAUCCAAGGUGGGGACUGUGAUCGGAAUUGAUCUCGGAACUACGUAUUCUUGUGUGGGAGUGUACAAGAAUGGUAAUGUAGAAAUCAUAGCAAACGACCAAGGCAACAGAAUCACACCCUCCUGGGUUGCCUUCACUGACACCGAGCGUUUAAUUGGAGAGGCCGCAAAGAAUCAAGCCCCUCUCAACGCAGAACGCACGAUUUUCGGCGUCAAGCGGCUUAUUGGGAGAAAGUAAGCAACUUUACUUCAAAAUUGGGUUGAAAGAGAUUGUGGGUUAUUUGUGUGCUUAAUUUGGGUUGUGAACUUAAAUGGGUUUUGUUUGAAGGUUUGAUGAUCCAGAGGUGCAGAGAGAUAUUAAGUUUUUACCAUAUAAGGUUGUGAACAAAGAUGGGAAGCCUUAUAUUCAGGUGAAGGUUAAAGGUGAAACAAAGGUGUUUAGCCCUGAGGAAAUCAGUGCUAUGAUAUUGGGUAAGAUGAAGGAAACAGCUGAGGCCUAUUUGGGGAAGAAAAUCAAAGAUGCUGUGGUAACAGUUCCAGGUAUAGUCAGAGUUUCCUCUCUUAAUCUUGUAUAUCACUGUGGAAAUUAGAUAAUACCAAUGAGAAUACUAGUGAUUAUGUUAUUGUAUACGUUGGUCUCAUGGGUUGCUUUUCAUUGGUUCUUGUAGCUUAUUUCAAUGAUGCACAGAGGCAAGCUACCAAGGAUGCAGGCAUCAUUGCUGGGCUCAAUGUGGCCCGAAUAAUCAAUGAGCCUACAGCGGCAGCUAUUGCCUAUGGUCUAGACAAGAAAGAAGAGAAGAACAUCUUGGUUUAUGAUCUUGGUGGUGGUACAUUUGAUGUUAGUAUUUUAUCCAUUGAUAAUGGUGUGUUUGAGGUAAGGUCUACAAGUGGAGACACCCACUUGGGAGGAGAGGACUUUGACCAUAGAGUGAUGGACUACUUCAUCAAGUUGAUCAAGAAGAAGUAUAACAAGGAUAUUAGCAAGGAUAACAAGGCUCUUGGGAAGCUUCGAAAGGAAUGUGAGAGAGCUAAGAGAGCCUUGAGUAGCCAGCACCAGGUCCGGGUGGAGAUUGAGUCUCUUUUUGACGGUGUUGAUUUCUCAGAGCCAUUGACAAGGGCUAGAUUUGAGGAGUUGAACUUGGACUUGUUCAAGAAGACCAUGGGGCCAGUGAAGAAGGCUUUAGAAGAUGCAGGCCUCAAGAAAAAAGAUAUUCAUGAGAUCGUGCUCGUUGGUGGGAGUACUCGAAUUCCUAAGGUGCAACAGUUGUUGAAGGACUUCUUUGAUGGGAAAGAACCAAACAAGGGAGUCAAUCCUGAUGAGGCUGUUGCCUUUGGUGCUGCAGUUCAGGGUGGAGUUCUCAGUGGAGAAGGCGGGGAUGAAACCAAAGACCUUCUUUUGCUUGAUGUUGCCCCUUUGAGUCUUGGUAUUGAAACAGCUGGUGGUGUCAUGACAAAAUUAAUUCCAAGGAACACUGUUAUCCCAACUAAGAAGUCUCAGAUCUUUACCACUUAUCAAGACCAGCAAACCACAGUAUCCAUCAAGGUAUGUUUAUAACAGAUAAAUGCACAAGCUAUUGAGAUGGGAAUUUCCACAUAUUGCAUAAUGCGUGUAUUUGGUGUUUUGACUAAUGCUAGUCUUUGAAAAUUAUCAGGUGUAUGAAGGUGAAAGAAGCUUGACGAAGGAUUGUCGCUUGCUUGGAAAGUUCGAUCUCACUGGCAUUGCACCUGCUCCAAGGUAAACCAGAGUGCUAGUUUUUCACUUAUUUGGUGUGCUUGAUUGACAUAUACUGAAAGCUGAAUGCUUUAUUUUUCUCUUGCAGGGGAGUGCCCCAAAUUGAGGUGACCUUUGAGGUUGAUGCAAAUGGCAUCCUACAAGUGAGAGCGGAGGACAAGGCCGCAAAGAGGUCUCAAUCAAUAACGAUUACUAACGACAAGGGGCGUCUGAGCCAGGAGGAGAUAGAGAGGAUGGUGAAGGAGGCUGAGGAAUUUGCAGAAGAGGAUAACAAAGUGAGGGAAAAGAUAGACGCCAGGAACAAGCUUGAGACCUACAUAUACAGCAUGAAGAGCACCAUCAACGACAAGGACAAGCUGGCAGAUAAGAUUGACUCAGAUGACAAGGAGAAGAUUGAAAGCACACUGAAGGAGGCUCUUGAAUGGCUGGAUGACAACCAAAACGCAGACAAGGAUGACUUUGAUGAGAAGCUGAAGGAGGUGGAAGCAGUGUGCAAUCCAGUGAUAAAGCAAGUCUAUGAGAAGAGUGGUGGAGCUUCUUCUGCUGAUUCUCAGGAUGAGGAAGAACCAAAUGAUGAGUUGUAGACGGUAAGGGAGAUGAAAGUUUGAGGGUUCUGUUGUAGAAAGUAGCAUGGGUUUUUUUUCCCUGACCAAAAAGAAAGUACCAUGUUUUUUUUAUAUAUUCUUGGUUUUCAUGUAUAUUUUAACAGUUUCAAAGUUCAAUAUUGAAUGGAAAGUUGAGUUCUUUCAUUUCAAUCAUGUUUUAAAGUUCCUAUCUAAAAAUAAAAAUAAAAAUCAAUGUUUAAAAGUUAUAAAUAAAAAAUAAAAUUAAAAAAAAACAUGAAAAUUGACAACAAUCAUAAAUUCACAACACAACACAAAAAGGAAGGCAAGGCAUCCAUAUAUUCCAACGACUUGCCGUAUGCUUGAUCAAGUUGACGGACGACAUGACGUUGGAUCACAGGACAAAAUGUAAUGAAAACCCCAACUUCAAAAUUGCCCACUUCGGAGUUUGGCGGGGAUAGUUCCCAGAGAGAGAGAGAGAGAGAGAGAGAGAGUUCUAGGCGCUCUGACCGGCUAAAGACUAAAGUAAGCUAUCAUGCUUUCUAUUUUCCCUCUUUGGAUUUUAAUCUUGGUAGCGUCAUUGUUUUCUUCAAUUUUUUGUUUAAUUGUUCACUAAUUGAACGCGCGGAAUUGUUCUUCGUGGUUGUUAAUUUUCACGAUUUGGUUGCUUAGAACAUGAAGAAAAUCAGAAAUGAAAGAAUUUAUCUUUAAGCUCUGAACCCAGUCUCGCACCACUUUUGCUUAUUCAAAUCGAUUUUAUUAUGAAGGAAUUAAAUUUGGACUUGUUCAAGUAAUAAGGGGAAGGGAAAGAUCCCUUUUUUAUUUAAGAAAAAAAAAAGGCUGUUAUGAAGGCUUAGGAAAAGAAAGUUGGUUUAAAAAUAAAGUUCCAAUUCUAUUGGCAUAACCCAAGUGCAACCAUACAAUUCAAUUGGAUUUUGAAUAUUAUGUACUUUUUCAUGUGUUUUGUAGCUUGCAUUUUGAUGCAUGCUUGACUUUGGGUUUCCUGGACUUUUGCUACAGACCCCUUUCAUACCAUGAAUGCCAAUGGCGUCUCAGCUGAUGAAGUCAUUGCAAAACUGCUUGAAAUGGGUUUUGAGAAUUCCACUGUCAAAAAGGCUGUAAAAGAAGUAGGGCCAUCAUUUGAUGAUGCGUUGGAUUAUAUAUUGAAUGGUUGUUGUAGUACCAAUCGGAGAGCAACAAGAGCAUCAUCAACUAGUUCUAGUUCCAUGAGAAAUGUAAAGGCUCCCGGGAAAAGACCCCUGCCCGCCUCAUUCCCUUCGGCUCAAAUUCGACAGUCUAGCAUACUGGAGCAUUUUCAAUCCAAUAGUAGACCCAAAAGGAGUAAAACUGAUGGGGUACCUGAUGUAUCAGUUUCUGGAUCAGAAAUAGUACGUGGUCCUAUAGAACAAUGUUUGAAACCUCCUUCUGGCGUGAAUUGCAGUGUUGAAGUUUUAUCAGACACGUCUCCGCUUGAUUGCCUGGAGAAUCAAUCAGAUUGGCAGAAGAAAGCUAACAGUCUCUUGCAAAAGCAUUUUGGUUAUUCAUCAUUAAAAAAUUUCCAGAAGGAAGUCUUGGCUGCUUGGAUGGCUCACCAAGAUUCUCUUGUUCUUGCUGCAACAGGGUCAGGUAUUAUUAUCCAGCUUAUGUUUGUGCUGUUUUGUUGAUAUUCAGUUAUAUGGGCUGCUAUCUUAGAUUCAUAAUUACUGUUGCGCAGGGAAAUCUCUGUGUUUCCAGAUUCCAGCAUUGUUGACAGGGAAGGUGGUGGUGGUGAUUUCACCGUUGAUAAGCUUGAUGCAUGAUCAAUGCUUAAAGCUGGCAAAACAUGGGGUUUCUGCUUGCUUUCUUGGAUCUGGGCAACCAGAUAGUACUGUGGAAAAUAAAUCAAUGAGCGGCAUGUACGACAUAAUAUAUGUUUGCCCCGAAACUAUCCUGAGGUAAGAGACUUCAUUAUUAUAUGGCUGUUGUUUGACUGAGGUGUUUCGAAGGUUCUCACAAAUUACAAUCGACCAUGCUACAGACUGAUAAAGCCACUUCAAAAAUUAGCAGAAAAUCGUGGAAUCGCACUUUUUGCAAUUGAUGAAGUCCAUUGUGUUUCAAAGUGGGGCCAUGAUUUUCGGCCUGAUUACAGGUUCGUCGGAUAUUUGUUUACAAUUGCAUUGGUAUAUAUCUAUCACUACAAGAAUAGUGAUUGGAUUUAUCUGUGAGUCGUAUGACUAAUGUAUGUCAUAGACAUGGGAAUAGAUGCCUAUAAAUCAGUCAAACAUUCUUGUGGUUCAAGUCUCUAUCUUGUCUUUGCUGUGCCUUCUAAGUUAUAUGAGGCAUCAUUCUAGUUCUUCGGAUAGAUGAAAGUUAUCAUAUUUCCUUGACAUUGAAUUUCCAAAUGUUUCAGGAGAUUGUCUGAGUUGCGAAAGAACUUCAGUGCUUGCAAUUUAAAAUUCUUAAAAUUUGAUAUACCACUGAUGGCAUUGACUGCUACUGCCACAAUUCAGGUCCGCAAAGACAUUCUUAGGUCAUUGUCCAUGUCAAAGGAAACAAAGGUUGUGCUUACUUCCUUUUUCAGGCCAAAUCUAAGAUUUACGGUGAGUUCACUGUAUUGAUUUUUCAAAAUGUUUCAGUAUAAUUUCAGGUUUUUAUUAUUAUAUUUUUUUAAUUUAUAACUUUGGAUCUUUAUAUGAAGUAAUCAGCAGGAUUGGGUUUUGUUCUGCAUGAACAAUUUCGUAGAAUCCCAAUUAAUUUAAUUUCUUUAUUUGCUUCAUCCAUUUUAUUUUUCAUCUCAUCUUACAGGUACAACAUAGUAGAACAUCGGCAUCAUCGUAUGAGAAUGAUUUCCACGAAUUGAUAGACACGUAUACUGGAAAGAGAAGAAUGGGUGAAAAGAAACAAAUAGUCAUGUCACAAGAACUAAACAAUGUGAUGGAUAGUGCUAAUGGUAGCAUAUCAGAUGAAGAUAACAUUUCUCAGGAUGAUUUAGACAAUUUUGAGGAUGGUUACUCUGACAAAGAUGAAGUAGAUUCAUCACAGGAAAAUGGUUCUAGUGCUUCAAAGGGAAGGGAGCUGUCAGUUGAGUACUUGGAGGAUGACAUUGACAUCUUUCAGAGUGUGAAUGAUUGGGACGGUAUUGUAAUUUUCAAGUUCUGAUAUCUGAAAUAGACUUCAUAGCAUGUUAGACAUGAUUAUGUUCAAUGUGCUGAUCUUUUUCAUGCUUGCAGUUAGCUGCGGUGAGUUCUGUGGACAAUCUCUUUGUGAGGACUGGAAUACCAGAAAAGAAACUAUAUCUGAUAUUAUUGAUCUACCAAAUAAACCAGAAGAAAGACUAAAACUUUUGCAGGAGCCGUUAGAGAAAGGGUCAACCAUCAUAUAUGUUCCUACUAGAAAAGGAACGUUGAGCAUUGCAAACUAUCUUUGUAGGUGUGGCGUGAAGGCUGCUGCCUAUAAUGCAGCGGUAUGUCAUGGAUUAUAACCUUUGUAGAUAUUUGUGGAUGCAUAUUAUCCCACUGUUUUCUUACAGUCUAGUAUGGAGUUCUCUUAAUCUCUCUUGCUACUGAAAUAUCCUCUUAGCUCCCUAAUUUCCUUUGUCACUACAAUUACCAAACAUUGUAGACCACUAGAAUUUGUUUAUGGGUGAAAAUUCAGUCGCACAAUGUUGAUGAUGUAGAAAUACUGUGGGAUAGGGAAAACGGGUGCAUUUACCCACAAUAGCAGCCUUUUUCAUUUACUUAUAGAUGAAUUCUGAUGGUAGAUUAUUUUUUGUUGUCCUAUCGUGCUAACUCAUUCUUGAGUUCACUCGUUAUCCAAUUGCUAAAUUAAAGAUGCUCUAUGCUGCCAUGAAAGUGUAUCUCUUGUUUGCUAGGUAACGUAUAUGUUGGUUUGAUUUUUCUCCAGUUGCCGAAGUCACAUCUAAGGCAGGUUCACAAGAUGUUUCAUGAAAAUACUUUAGAGGUAUGAGUUUUCAGAUUCAUGGAUACUAGGAAUGUUGCAUAGGCCAAUGGAUAGUUUAGCCAUUAAAUGUAUAUUCCCUCAUUUUAGGUGGUUGUUGCAACAAUUGCUUUCGGAAUGGGAAUUGACAAGUUAAAUGUCCGAAGAAUAAUCCACUAUGGCUGGCCACAGGUGAUCUUCUUAAUCUAGUUUUGCUUCAAUUUAAUGUUUCUUCAUUCUUUGUUCUGAACUCAACAUAACUCAGUCCCUUGCUUCUCUGUUUAGGCAACAACAUCAAUGCCUACUACAAAUUUCCCUUGAUGUAUUACUUCAUUAUCCUUGCUGUGAGCUUCUUAUACCUUUUUGGUUUGUUAUAGAGUCUGGAAGCUUACUAUCAAGAAGCCGGUCGAGCGGGCAGGGAUGGAAAAUUAGCCGACUGCAGUAAGUUGAUCUCUGUUUCCAGAAUAUUAGAUGUGAACUAGAUUAAAUUAAUUGAAGUCUUUAACCUUUUUGACCCUUUAUGGCAAAUAAUCUUGUUGAGAUACUAUUUAUUGUUUCUCAGUUUAUUAUGCAUUCCAUGCUCAUGAUAUAUUCUGUUUCAAACUUUCAAUCUUGCUCUGCCUUUUCACCUUAUAUUGCAUUGCUUUAUUGAUUGCGACUCUUGUUGGGUCUAUAUUGUUGGAUAGGAUCUAAUGAAACCUCUUCUGUUUUUCUCGAGCAGUUUUAUUUGCAAACCUAACAAGAGUGCCAUCACUUUUGCCGAGUCGAAGAAGUGAAGAGCAGACAAAGCAAGCAUAUAAGAUGUUGUCAGAUUGUUUUAGGUUGAUGUUAAAUACAUCUCCUUGCAGCCUUCUUCCACUGUGAAAUUUGAUCACACUUUGACCAACUUUACCCAGCAUAAUAUUUAGUUUCACACGCAUGCACACAUGCAGGCAGCACUAUGUAUUAUAUGCUUUUCUUUGUAUACUUGCAGGUAUGGAAUGAAUUCUUCAUGCUGUCGGGCUAAAAAACUUGUGGAGUACUUCGGAGAGGAUUUUAGUUCUGAAAAGUGUCUCUUGUACGUAUCAUUGCUUCUCUUUUUGAGGUUCCGUUUUAUGUUUAAUGUGUUUUCUCUUUAGCCACAGUUGACAGUGUUUCACAGUUUAUGCUCAUUAAGCAAUUUCCUUAAUGCAGGUGUGAUGUGUGCGUUGCUGGACCUCCCGAACUGAAGAAUUUGAGAAAGGAAGCAGAUCUCAUCAUGCAGGUUAUAUCUGCUCAUCAUGCAAGUCAAUACAGGAUUGGUUCAUAUGAUGAUGCUACAAGUAGUGACAUUAGACUUAGACGUGAAAGUUAUAUGGGGAAGCUAAAUCUCAGGAUGAUUAUCAGUAAAAUAAGGGAGCAGGUGAUUCUCACUCUCUUACUCUAUGCUUUCGUGAAAUUCUAGCGGCGGUGCUUAAAAUGCAACUCAAAUUCUAACACAUUGUUUGGUGAUUUCCAUACGAUGACCAUGAACACUGCGGCGUGCAGUCUCAAGAAUUCAUGGCAACUGAACUGCUUUGGUGGCAAGGCCUUGUCCGAAUUAUGGAAAGUAAAGGAUACAUCAAAGAGGGAGAUAACAAGGUACACAUUCACCAUGCAUGCAUGCAUGUGUAUGCUUCUGCUUACAUCUAUUUUGUCAGUCUAAUCUCAGAGUUUCAACUUAAAUAUUCAAUGCAGACGCAUGUUCAGCUAAAGUUCCCUGAGCUAACAGAACUUGGGUUGGAGUUUCUUGAAACCAAAGGGGAGCAAACUUUCUAUGUUCACCCUGAAGCAGAUAUGCUGCUUUCUGCAAACAGACCCAAAUCUUUCUCAACUUUCUCAGAGUGGGGAAGAGGCUGGGCUGAUCCUGAGAUUCGACGUCAGAGGUUAGAGAAUAUGCAAUGCAACAGAAAGCCAUUUAACGCCGGAGGUAAAAGAGGACGACGAAAAUCACGAAAGCAACGACACAGUCCAAAUUUAAGAACUGCUCGAGGUAGAAUAGAAGCCAAACUCUCCAAAAAAGGUGCCCGACCAAGGUCAUUGAAGCAUUGACAAGUUUGGGAUUUACAUGUAGAAUGAAUCUAUGACAGCAAUUAACCAAAUAGGUUGUGGUGGAGCCUAUGAUUCAAAAUGCAAUUAUUUUUCAGUAGCAUAUUGCUUAAUCUUGCAAUCAUGAAUUAACGUAGGAUUAAAAUCGAUUAAUUUCCAACCCAUUCUUCUAUUGGAUUUUAUAAUCGUUUUUUCGCAAAUUGAAAAUUGAAAAAAUAAAAUAAAAUCCUACAAAGUUUGAGUUCAAUUUCCGUUAGCACACUGUAAAAUUGUACUUUCUCAAAUCAAGUUUUGCCAAGAAUGUCAAUAAAACAAAACAAUUUCUUUGUAAAGUUUAACAUUUUGACCUGAAGAAAAAGAAAAAUCAUAUAGUAAAUGUCUAAAAUUGCACCAUUAUUAUUGUAAAUAUAUCUUAAAUCUUAAUAUAAAAAACUAAAAAUAAAUAAGAAUAGUGAUUAUUUAUCACAUUUUCAAGUGAUUUCUACUUUCACCAAUUUUUAUGUGGUAGUAUUUAUAUAUAGUAAAUUAGUUAUGAACAACAAGCGCAUCUGGUGUAGUGGUAUCAUAGUACCCUCCCACGGUACUGACCAGGGUUCGAUUCCCUGGAUGCGCAUUCUUUUUAAAAUGUACCCUUUGGCUUCAUUAGGAGUUUAUAUCACAUUUACCUUUUAUUUGGCUUCAUCUCGUUCAGUUAUUUUACACAUCAUUGUCACCCAUUUUUGUUAGAGAUGAAAGUUUCCUUUAAAUUGGCAGGCAAAACAAAAGAAAAACGCAAAGAAUAUUCCCUUAUUGAGUUAUAUGACAAACCCACAUAAUUAAAGGAAAGAAUAUAUAUGUAAUGUAAUCUAGGCUCCCCUCAGUUAUGUUCCUUUCUUCCAUUCUUCUUAUUACAUGUGCACCUCUUCAAAGACUACAACAAAAUAAUUAACAUGAUCUCCAUGGAUUUCAGUCAUGUAAUUUUCGCCGUAAUCGGUUUCUCUUCCUCCAUCUUCUUCUUCGUGCCGAAUAUAAAGAAAUGGCACAUGCAACAAGUCACAACAGAAAAAUUAAGGAUUGUUAAUGAAGCACUGGAGCAAGCUGAAGAGAGGGCAGCGAGGUUUCAAGAAAGGCAUGACCGAAUUCUAAGCCAGAUAUGCUCAUUUUACUUGAUAAAUAAGGAGCUGGAGGAUGCCUUGGCCGGUGCUCGGGCCACCAUGAGGGAAGCAUUGGAAUUUGCUGCUAAUUUGAGGAGGUUGCAAAUGAAGAUCAUUACUUCUUUCCCAAGUGAUCAGCUUAUAGUCAUGGCAGCAGAGUCAGGUUAAGGAACAAUUAAUUAGAGGGGACAUUGUAAUCAUUCUGAUUGCAUUCCCAAAUACCAAUGGUUCAAAAAAUUUCAUGCAUAAGCUAUAUGGUCCAAGAAGUUUAUGUUGUGAGGAAUGCUCAAAGAAUUUUAUUUGUUAAUACAAUCCGUUCAAUAACUUUACAGGUUCAUAUUCUUCUUGGGUUACAAUUUUCUUUCAAAUUCAUUUAGGAAUGAGAACUUUUCGUGUCAUUCAUGUCGCAAAGCUCUAACUCUUAAUGGGAUGGUUUGAUAAAAAAAAAAAAAGAAGGAAAAUGCGUUGGGGGUAAGGAUCAUUAUUAGAAAGCUUUUUUAUCAUUCCAUAAUCACAGAGUAACAUCUUCAUAGGCCCUAGGAUAGGAAUGAGAUGAGAGCGAGUAUGGGGCAAGAACUCCACUUAUGUAUGCAUAUUUCAUUGUAUUAACGCGAUGAGAGAUACAAAUACACUCACAAUUGAUAUUUUUUCGAGAAUGAGACAUGAGUUACUAUUUUAGUAGGUCGUAAAGUAGACACGAAAAUUCCCUUAAAAUUCCAAAGCAAAUUGAGAGGAGUGAAGAUGGAAAAUACGAAUUAAAGUAUAAAUGGGAAUUUAGCAUUUCCAUUCAAUAAUCUGCGUCAUAAAUUGAAUUGGAAAUCACGAAGUUGAGUUUUUAUACUUGAUCCACUAAAUUAACCUAUCAUGCUUAAAAUAAGGAAGCUGAUUUUCCUACUCCAAUUUUCUCCACUUAUCCCCUCCUCUCUCCCUCUUUUUCUCUCUUCAAACUUUAGGGGCUGCAAGGCUCUUGGUUAGUUUAGAGAGAGAGAGAGUGCUCACAUCCUCACUUUGAAGGUGUGAAACAGAGGUAGCAGAAACAAGUAGUGGAUUUGCGGCAUGGGUCUGUGGCUUUUUCCUCAAUCUGUUUGCCAAGAGUUGCAGACCCACCAUGGAACAUUGUUGGACCUUUUUUUUUUUUAUGGAGUUACUUUUUGUUCUUUUUUAUUCUUUUAUAGUUUUUAAUUAUUUUAAAAAAUAAAGAAAUUUUUGUAUUAGUUUUUAGAAAAACUUUAUAAAACCCCCUCAACUAUAGGGUCAUUCUCAAGUUCAUACUCAAUUUUAGAAACAUUUACGAAUACACACUCAAACUCCUGAAAACCUUAUAAUUUAGUCCAUUCGUUAGCCAAACAACUGAAAAAUACAUGAAAUUUGUUGAGAAAUGGUGCUUUUGCCAACAAGGGGAUUCGAACCACUCUCAAUCCCAUCCAUCUACUGGGCCUUAUCCAACACGCUGCGAAUCAAUUUGUUAACAAUGUUACGACGUGUAAUAUUUAUAUGGUCUUAAAAGUUUUGCAAGCUAAUAUUAUCUAGGAUAAAUUUCCAUUUAGAAAAAAAAAUUCCUAAUAUUAUUUUAUUAUGUUUAAAUUAGGCAUCUGUUUAAUGUUAUGACGUGUAAUAUUUAUAUGGCCUUAAAAUAUUAUCUAGGAUAAAUUUUCAUUUAUUAAAAAAAAAAAUCCCUAAUGAUAAAUUUAGGCAUAUGUUUAAUUUUAUUUAUUAUUUUAUUAUGGAGGUUUUUUUUUUUUUUGUGGUUAUAUAUUAUGGAGUUGUAUUAUUAUUCACUAUUGAGUUUUAAUAUUGUUCAUUAUAUGUGAUACUAAGUUUUAACUUUAAUAGGAAUUCUUUUCUAUGUGGUAGUAAGUUACUUAUAUAUAUAUAUAUAUAUUUUGUCAAGCUCAUAUAUCUUAUCAUAUGCAAUAUAUUGUAGUAAAUUAAUAUAACUAAAAAAUUGUGGUGUGUUUGAUUUUCUUUCACUAAUUACUACAUAUUUUCUAAAGACAUGGUGUUUGUCAGGUCGCUACAUAAUCAACUUAAAUCACUCUAACCCACCAUGCCAUGCAUUUUAUUCCAGUUUUUUGUGAUAAAAUAAUAGACAAUUGACUAAAUAAACAUCCUCUAAAGUUUCAAUAAAAAUUUCUAAGUUUUUCUCACAAUUUCCGUGAUUUUUAUUCAAUUUUUAUCGAUAUCGAUAUUUUCUCGAUAUUUCCAUCGAUAUAUCCGUGUUUUUGGACCACCGAUAUUUUCGAAACUCUUGAUAUUUUAGACCUUGCUCCUAACCCAGCGAACCAGCGACCCUAUCUUUCAUCCUAGCCUAAAUCCAACUGCCCUCCUAUCCACCAAAUCCAGUCAAUCACAUGCCACACACCAAAUCUAAUAAAUUUGCCUGAAGUUCGUUUAUUUUUCAAUGGGUUUUAUGAAUAUUUUUGAAUAUGUGGGGUUAAUUAGAUUUACGUUUUGAAUAUUUGGGGAAGAUGGUGGCUACAGGGUGGGAGAGAGAGAAAGGCGGGGGUUAGGGGUGCUGCUGAAAUUUCCUCUUGUAGAGCAACCUUGACAUGGCCUUGUCCUCGCUCGCCAACCAUGCGACCUCGACUUGGAGUGCUCCACCAGUCGAACGCUGUUUGUCUCCUAAGAGCAACUCCACCAUUUGCCCUUUGUCAUGGCAAAUGGGGGUUAGGGCAGCUACUAUUCAUGUGAAUAGUGGCUGCCCUUUCAAAAUGCAAAGUGUGUUUCCACCUAUUGUCAUGGCAACCACUAUUCACACGAGAUAUGAGGAGAGGAAUUUGUAUAGAGUUUUGGUAUGGAAAGUGAAAAAUAUGACUAAGUAUUUAUUUUAAAAAAAUUCUGAAAAGUUUAGUAUUUUUUUAGAUUUUUUAAAAUUAUUUUUUGAUUGCUGACGUCAUCGUUGACGUCAGCAGCCCGUGCAACGUUUGUCUGCUGGAAGGCCGUUUUGGGCCAAACCCCCCCUUUGCCCCGGCACACUAGAGUUGCUCUAAGUGAGUUUGGGUCCGCACAAACAGAUCCUUGAUACUCAAAUAGAAAAGAAACAAAUCAAUCAAACAAUAACCUAUUUGGAGGACUUGGUGAUGGCUGGGUUUUGGUUUAAGGAUGGUUUUGGUGAUGGGUUUGGGUUUAACGAUGAUGAUGGUGAAUUUGGUUUUGUUGGCGUUCCAGUGAGGGUGGUGAUGAAGGAAAGUAGAGAGGGUGGUGCGGUGGUGCAGAGGGUAAGCUGACGGAGGUUGGGUUUUUUUAGGUCUUAAUUUUUUUUUUAAAAUAUAGAUUUGACUUAAUUUUUUAAAAAUAAUUUAAACAACAAAAUAAAUUUUUUUAUUAAUUUUUAGUCCACUUGGAAGUCCAUAUCAUUAAAAAAUAGAUCUCACUUUUGACACGUCAGCAUUUAUGUAAUGUAUAGGGUAAUUUGUAGGUUUUUCGGAAGUUUGAGUAUAUACUCGUAAAUGUCUCUAAAGUUGGGUAUGAACCUGAAAAUGACCAUAUCAUUUCAGGGGUUUUAUGUAGUUUUUCUUAAUUUUUAAUCAUAUAUUUUUAUUUUUUUGGUUGUCAAAGUCUUAUUUAUCUCCAUAAAUGUAGAAUGAGCUCACAUGACUAAAUUUAACAGAAAAUAUAACGAUAAGACAAAUGUGUUGAUUAAUAAAGAGUUAAUAGAUCAUUUGAAUAAAUAAUUUAAUUGAGAGACCAAAAUACAAUUUGAAUAUAAAUUUGAGGACCAUUUGAGUAAAUAACCUUAAAAAAUAUUAAAAAGCAAAAGAGAGUAUGUGUAAAUGAAAAAAUGGCAAAUCACCUCCCUAAAAUAAUAUAUUUGGUCCCAAGGCAAAGUUAAUGCCCCAACUACUCUCCAAAAUCCAGAAGUCGCGGAUUGCUAGCGUGUCUUCACUCACAGCCGUUGAUCACCAUCAAAUCUCACACCCAUCGCUUCACUUCAAAACAAUCCAAUUGGCUAAAACACAAGCACACGGAUCGUCAACGUGGCACACCCCACUAUAAAACACAACCCACCAAAGUAUUUUUGCCAAAUUCAAAUCCAAGCGCUUCAAAACAAUCCAACUUUCCCUCCGCAACAAAAUUUUAUUUUCAGUUCUAAAAUCUGAGAGAGAAUGGAAGCUGCUAAGGUCACCAAGGGCGCCGGAGGAAGAAAAGGCGGAGAGAGAAAGAAGUCCGUGUCGAAGUCGGUCAAAGCGGGGCUCCAAUUCCCAGUGGGUCGGAUAGCCCGUUUCUUGAAAAAGGGUCGCUACGCCCAGCGAACAGGCACCGGGGCUCCGAUUUACCUCGCCGCCGUUCUCGAAUAUCUCGCCGCUGAGGUAAUUUCAUGGUCCAAGUUUCUCAGAUCUAAGCAUUUUACAUCUUUUUCCCCUUCUCGAAAUGCGUUUCUCGUAAAAACUUCUCAAUAAGAUCUGAUUGUUUUGUGCGAUUGUGUUUUCUUUUGCUGUUUGGAUUUUGAGAAAAAUAAGGAAAAUAAGGAAAAUGAGAUUUGAUUUUUGUUUCUUUGAUUAUUAAUUACUUAUUAAUUGGUGGUGGCGUUUUGAAAUCAGGUGCUGGAGUUGGCGGGGAAUGCGGCACGUGACAACAAGAAGACUCGGAUAAACCCAAGGCACGUGCUAUUGGCAGUGAGAAACGACGAGGAGCUUGGAAAGCUUUUGCAAGGAGUGACCAUAGCGAGCGGUGGUGUGCUCCCAAACAUAAACCCAGUGCUGCUUCCAAAGAAGACCUCCAAUGCGUCUUCUGAAGCUGCUGAGAAGGCGCCCAAGUCUCCCAAGUCUCCCAAGUCUCCCAAGAAGGCCUAAAACGCAUGUCGUUUUCAAUGACAACAUAUAAAUAAUGUCAGUAGGGAUCUUUAGGGCCUAGUUUUGUUUUUCUCGUGUAGUAGUUAUUGCACAAAUGAAAAUGUGGAUGGCAUAAUCGGAAAUUUCAUGUUUUGUGUAUUUUUGAAAUCUCCUUAAUGUGAGAUUUGAAAUUUCCAAAACUGACAAUUAUUAUUUCUGACAGAAAUUAUUGUGUGGUAUUAGAAUAUAAUUAUAUGAUAUAGGUGAGUGACAUGGUUACAAAAAUAAAUUUACUCCAUUCACCCAAACCCACGGAUGGAGCUUGGUAGUAUCCAAACCUGACUCAAUUGAAAUCCAUGGCCUGCCACGUAUCACUCAGUCUCGUUGCCCUUGCUCCGAAACACAUGUCAAAGGCAUAAACGGAAACUCGCAAAUUGCCAUCGUGGCAUUUUCUUUUCCCCUAUAAAAUAUUGCCUACCAAAUUACGCCAACGUGAUUUCAAAUCCCAGCGGUUCGAAACUCUCGCACUUUCCCUCCUAAACGAAUCGUUUUACCACCCUAGUCUUGAGAGAAAAAUGGAAACCGCGAAGGGGUUCAGAGGAAGAAUAGGCGGAGGGAGGAAGAAGGCAGUGUCAAAGUCGGCCCGAGCUGGGCUUCAAUUUCCGGUGGGUCGGAUCUGCCGUUUCAUGAAAGCUGGUCGCUACGCCGAUCGGAUCGGAACCGGGGCUCCGAUUUACAUGGCUGCUGUUCUUGAAUAUUUGGCUGCUGAGGUGAUUUUUCUGAUCCGCAAUAUCUCAGAUCUAAGCAUUUUAACUUGUUUUAUCGAAAUAAUUUUUACAUGAUCUGAUUGUUGCGUCUGAUAUUACUUCCGUUUUGAUUUUCUCUUGAUAUCUGAUCCUUGUGUUUUUUGUUUGGAAGAAUUGAUCAUGGACGUGUUUCUCUUUCUUGUUUGGUUGUUGAGAAAAGGAAGGAAAUGAAAAGAAAACUGACAUUUUUAUUACAAUUGUUUGAUUUCUGUUUCUGUAAUUAUAUCAUUAAAUCACAAAUUAAUCGGUCAGGUUCUGGAGUUGGCGGGGAAUGCGGCACGUGACAACAAGAAGACUCGGAUCAGCCCGCGGCACGUGCUAUUGGCAGUGAAAAACGACGAGGAGCUGGAGGAGCUUUUGAAAGGAGUGACCAUAGCCAGUGGCGGUGUGCUUCCGCAGAUAAACCCAGUUUUGCUUCCAAAGGAGACGACGUCGUCCAAAGCCUCUUCCAAGGCUCCCAAGCUCGUCAAUCCCACCACGAACAAAUCGUCUUUUUCUGCUGCUGUAGAAGAUGCUCCCGACUUUGGGAAUGAGGCAAACGACGCCGCUUCGGAUGUCGCCGACAAUGCGUCUCCCAAUUCACCACCCAAGGAGGAGGCCUCAAGCCCCUCUUCUGGUGUUUCUGCUGUAUCAGCAACUACGUAAAUGUCAGUAGGGAACUAUAGGAAUGAAAGGUUCUUUAGUCAGAGUAGUGCACAAAUGGAAACUGAUAGUGGGUUGGGUAUAUCUGAAAGAAACUUCAAUGGGAAGUUUCUUAUUUUGUGAAUGAAAUAUAAAUGCAAUCUUCUUAUGGUGAUCAAUUGAAAUUUGGAAUGCAAAUCCUCAUAUCAAAUGGAAAGAUUUCUUAUUUUGUGAAUGCAAUUGAAAUCCAAUCUUCAAAUCAAUACUUACAUUCACAAAUAUGAGUUAGGCCACUUGGCCAAUACAGUGUACUCACCCCACUGCAUCCGAAUUCGAACCUCCUCCCGUAUAUUAGAAUAGUUUAUAAUAUCCAUUGUAAAAAUAAAAAUAGGAACAUAUUACAUCAAUUUUUUGAGUCGAAGAUCUGAUUUCUUUUAGGAAAAGUCAAAACCAAAGAGCACACAACACAACCCACAACGCCCAAAAGGUUUGGUCUUUUUAUUUGUGCUCCAAUUCUCGGUACCCGAUUAGGAUUUGGGCUGUGUAAUUCCAACUGCAAAGCCCAUUUGAACUUCAUCUUUGGUCUCUGACCAAUAAUAACACUUCAACCUUUGGUCUGAGAUUUGAGACACCGUCAUCAAAGAAGGGGUUUUAGCUUGGGUUUUUGUGUACCUUGCGUUUCAGAACUUCUAGUACAUUUUACUCAUUCAAGCCUUCGUUUCGUUUUACUCAUGAACCAUUUUCUGGUAUUCGCAAUCUGAUUGGAAUUCAUUUUUAAAUUUAUUAGCUUUCGUUAGAAACUUAUUACUUUCGCAUCUGAUUCCGGCAGAGAAAACUUUCAACCCCCAACCGGAUUGUGGCCAUUUCCGCCGCUGCAGGGUCGGUUUUAUUGUACGCCAACGGCAACAGAAAUUCCGGUAAGUUCAAAGCUUUUAUUUUGAUCCGAAGUGAAUUUUUCUCUUCCUGUUUUUGGGCAAACAUUUUUUUGUUGCUGGAUGAAUGAGGAAACGAGAAAUCAAAUGUUGGGUUUUCGUUGCUUGGUUUCUAACCCAGUUAAAAAAAUGUCAAACGUUUGAUCGAUCCAGAUCGAGAUUCACAUUUUUAAUUUGAUUCUAAAAAAUAAUGCAUUUCUGAUUGAUUAACUAUAAUAAUCAGUCAUUAAGUAUGAAUUGGAUUUUAGAUUACACGGCAUCAGUGUCACUCCCUGCGCCAUUGCGCGAAUCGCUGUGGCUUCCAUGGCAAUCAGAGCUAUCGGUUCCACUGUUUUCUCUGGGAAAUAGUUCGGUUCCAUCAUCAGAUAUAAGCAAGGAUGUUUCUGGUGUCUCAGCAGCUGGAGAGAUACCAAAGACAUGUAGUGGAUGUUUGGGCAGAGAUUCUUUUGCAAAAGCGGCUGCUAAGGUUGGUCCUGCUGUUGUCAACGUAUCUGCUCCACAGGGUAAAAAUACAUUUUGGGAUUUUUCAUUUUUGUUUUGAGACAGUUGUAUUGUAUCGAGAAAUUAACAAUGAUGCUUUGUUUGUCAACUGUGUAGGUGAAUUUGGGAUCAGUCCUGGAAAGGGUAUGGGCUCCGGAACUAUUAUUAACCAGGAUGGUACGAUUUUAACGUGUGCUCAUGCUGUGGUUGAUUUUCAUGGGCUGAGAGCUUCAUCAAAAGGGAAGGUUAGAAACAUUAUCCCAAUUCUCAUAAUUUAAAAUAUCAUAAUGACUGUUCUGUACUAGUUCCCUUGGGGACUCUGUUGGUACACAUAGAAGGGCAUAUAUUUCAAAGUACAAAUAUAGGGUAACUGGUAAGACUGAGUUAAGAAAUGCAAUAGGUUUUCAGGGCAGGCUUUUAGGAAAAUAUAUCAAUCUUCAAGGAUUGAUGUUCAGUUCAACUUGAUACAGGUUCAUGUCACUUUGCAAGAUGGUCGAACAUUUGAGGGUACUGUGGUCAAUGCGGAUUUACAAUCCGAUGUUGCUAUUGUAAAGAUCAAUUCUAAAACUCCACUACCAACAGCAAAGCUCGGCAGUUCAAGCAAGCUUCAGCCUGGGGAUUGUGUGAUAGCUGUUGGCUGUCCACUUUCGCUUCAGAAUACAGUCACAUCUGGUAUUGUAAGGUAAAUUAGUUUUCAGUAAUAGAGAGUUGGUAUCUUUUUUGUCUACCAGUUAUCAAAUUAAACUCCUAGCAACGCACACAUAAAAAUGCACAAUUUCAAGCCUUUAAUUUUUCUUUGACCAUUUUACUAUAUCAUGUAUUUUUGGUGUUUAUCAUCAUGUUUCUCCCUUUAAUGCAGUUGUGUUGACCGUAAAAGCACUGAUUUGGGUCUUGGUGGAUUGCGGAGAGAGUAUUUACAGACGGAUUGCGCAAUCAAUCCGGUCUCUCUCUCUCUCUCUCUCUCUCUCUCUCUCUCUCUCUCGAUAAUGACUUUGAAUUGUGCCUAAAACUUGGCUCUUUUUUUUUUUGGGUACAUGACCUGAGUGUUGCAGGGAAAUUCUGGGGGGCCUUUAGUUAAUAUUGACGGAGAGGUGAUUGGUGUUAAUAUUAUGAAAGUACUUGCUGCUGAUGGAUUGAGUUUUGCUGUACCGAUUGAUUCGGUCACCAAAAUUCUGGACCAUUUCAAGAGAAAUGGGUAUGUUUUUGUUUUAGCAUGUGCAAAUAGUUUUAUGUGAUACACUUCUUUGAUAAUUUGGUUUCUUUUAAGAUAAUAUAUGUGAAACUAAUUAGUCAUGUUCAGCAGGAGGGUUGUCCGGCCUUGGAUUGGAUUGAAGAUGAUUGAUCUCAAUGAGAUGAUCAUCACCCAGCUUAAAGAAAGAGAUCCUACAUUCCCAAAUGUGAAGAAAGGGAUUCUUGUCCCCAUGGUAUGUAUAUAGUUGCUUCCUUCCCCAAUCUUGUACAUAUGUAUCCAAAUAGUAGUUGAAUGUAUCAGAGGUGGAAAGUACAUCUAGAUGCCAUCCUUUGGCAGUUAAAGAAUUGCAAUGACUUUUAAAUGGCUUCCUAGUCUAAUCUCGUAAGAGUGCCUUAGUUGUGUAUUUCAUUGCUUUUUCUACCUUGAUAUCUAUCAGUCUUUUCUAAGUGGGUAUGUGAUGCACAAAUAUGAAAACCAGGCUGUUAAGGAUAGUUGGUAUUCAACAAAUAACACACAAGUUUAUUGCAACUUGAGCUUUUUCACUAGAUAUGCAUCAGCAUAAUUUCACUUUUACUUCUUCAUUGUGCACCCAUUGGAAUGAACGUGUUAUUGUUUGACUGUUAAACAUGGCUGGAUCACUUGUCAAAUAAUUUACCUUUUGAUCGUCUAGGUAACUCCUGGGUCACCUGCUGAACGUGCUGGGUUCCGUCCUGGUGAUGUUGUUAUUGAAUUUGAUGGAAAGGCUGUUGAAAGCAUUAAGGAGGUACUGGAACCCUUACUAUACUAUUAUUUCCAUGAACUUCUUUGAGUGAAUGCUAUAUUGGCAAAGUGUAUCGAAUUUACCAAUUUAGCAAAUGACUAGAUUUGUAAUAAUUUGUUAAAAAAUGUUCAUCAAAGUUGGUGAAAUUGUGACAGAUCAUUGAAAUAAUGGGAGACCGAGUUGGGGUGCCCAUCAAGGUAGUUGUGAAAAGAGCAAGAGAUGAGUUGACUUUAACUGUAACUGCAGAGGAGUCGAAUUCAGAUAUGUGAAUGACAAGCUUUUGUUUUCAAGAUAGUUUGUUGUUGGUUUGGUUCCUGUAAUUCUGUGACUGGAAAGAAGAGCGAAUGCAUAUAUCCAGCUAGUUAGUAGUUAAUGUUACCUUUGAAAGAUACUGGUGAUAUUGAGGUGAAUUAGUUUGAAAUUUGGUGUCUACUUUCUAAAAUUUCUCAUUCUCCCAUGGAAUGGAAGCCUUGUGUUCGUUGUAACUUGCAUACGAGCAACAAGGAGAUAUCAUCUCCAAAAUUUAACCCUUGAACUUGUAUGGGUCUCUUUUACUCCAACUAUCUAACGUGGACUUCUAUCAAAUUUUAUUUGCAAUAAUUUAUCUAACAGUAUAUUUGGCAGAAAUGGACCAUAUAGAAUAGAUGCAUAAAGUCGAAUUGAACUAAAGGCGAUCCGAAAUUUGGAGACAAAAAAUUGUUGAUCACUGCAACUAAUUUCAUUGAUACAUAAUAUAACUGUUAUAUAUGUGUAACCCCGAUACCGAUCUCUAGCAUAUUCUCAUUUCCUCGAAUAUUUACAAUGUAUUUCAAUACCCUAAAUAAUUUAAAGAAGGAAAAAGGCAUAACAUAAAAAGGUGCUACCAAAAACAAAAUAUUUACACCACUUCAAAAAGUUUCUUCUGGCUUCAAGAAGUUAUAAUAUUCCAGCUGAGUCAUUUCUCCUCCAUUUACAGGGUCGAAUUGGCAACGAUAGAAGCUGCAUUCGCAAUCCGAUGAUUUCAUUAGACAGUUAAUCUUCGGAAACAGAAAAGAAAAGAAAAGUAGACUCCAACAAUCUAAAUAAAAUAAGGAACAUUCUAGUUGAAGGCAGCUCCAUGGAAUCAAUAGACUUAGAAAACGGGGACUUGCAAAAAGAACAAACAAUAUCGCAUUCAGUUACCUUCCAUCCAUGCCAAGAAUCACGACUGUGUUCUUCUGGUGUCCAAAGGCAACAGUGUACUGCAAACCUUCCUGCAAGUGAUAUUUAGCCACUGACCAUUCUGAGCUGAAAUACCUUGGCAACACACCUGCAAAAGAUAAACCCAGAACAAGGUUGAAAGACCAAGAUCAAGAUACACAACUACGAGUCAUUUACAAAUUGACGUUACAGUUUAUCUAUGGUGCCUCAGAGAUAAACUUGGCAACAAAUUACGUACCUUUCAUGAAAGAGAGAGAUGAAAUGCCGGAAGGAUUAGGAGGACUGAUUUCUGAUGCACUGCAUGAUCUAUUGUUUGCCAAGGAUCCUGAAUCAACCUUUAGGCUGAAAACAUGGACAGUGCCCUUAUCACUUGAGACAGCUAACCAUUGAGCAGUAGAAGAAAAAGCAAGACUGUAAAUCUCUGCUCUGUCUGCUCCUCUCCUUACCUACAUAAAAUACCAAGUAAUUCCUUAAACAUUAAUGUUACUAAAUUACCACAAAAGUUAAUAAAUUUUUGUGCAGAGUAGUUAUAAAGACCAAGUAUUCAACAGAAUAUGGUGGCAUCAUAUCCAAAUAUACCCUGCAAAAACCUAAAACCUCAACCAAGCAUGAAUCCCAGUCACCUUUCUGAGACAAAUUGCUUCCCAAAAACCUAGCUUUGGCAAAGUUAUGCCAUUGCCAACCAAACUAAUGAGCAAAACUACACAAACACACACACACAUAUAUAUAUUCAAUGAAAUCAAAAACCCGGAUGAACAGACACUGACAACUUUGUCACAGAUUCAACUAAAGCUUGAUUCUUAGUUCAUACAAAUAGACAUGGCAGCACCCAAAAACACAAUUUCACAGAACAUUAAGAAAAAUAAUUAAAAUUUAAAUACCUCUUGAAGUAAUGAACCAUCCAAAGUAUUGAAAAUCCUGAUCAAAGUGCCUUUACUACUGGCCGUGGCUAGCAGCCGACCGUCCUGCGUGAGCGCCAAGCACGCGAGCCUGGAAUCGUGGGCUAUUACAAACUUGGUUCGCUUUGACCCGUAAUUCUCGAUCCGAACUUGACCUUUUUGGAGCCCCGGGCACACCAGUACCGGAUGACCCGACAAGUUCGAGACCUCACAGAGUCCUUUGGGGUUGGCGAUGGUCUCAAUUUGAUGCAGGAGCUUUAAGUCAGUGAAAUUGUAGACGAAAACCUUCUGGACCAAAACGACGACGAUUCGGUCACGGCGGAGCCUGACCCCUUUGACUUCGGACCGGAAAGAGAGCUCGCAGAUGCAACGGGACUCGUUGUCCUCCCAAAUCAUGACCUUGUUGGGCGAGUAGAGCGGGUCGGGUCCGCCGCCGACAAGGGCGAGGACGUUGCAGCGGAAGAGCAUCUGGACCAUCCCGAGGCCGCCACCUGGACCGAAUUCGCGGCGGAAGAUCUCGCGGACGGGGUCGCAGUUGUAGACGCGGAAGCCGACGUCGGUGGCGACGGAGAAGCAACCGUGGUCCUGGUUGAAGGAGAGGUGGAGGAGGGUGGGGAUUUGGGUCGGGUUCGGGUUUGGGCAUGGACUUGUGUUUUGGGUGGAGAGAGAGGAAGAGUCGUCGGGUUCGGGCUCGGAGGCUGCAUGGAGAGGCUGUGGGUGUGCCAUUUGGGGCGUGGUGAGUAAAUCAGGGGAGGAGGAGAUGGUGGUCAUGGCCUCAUGAAACUCGGUGGCGGUGGAGGUAGGCAGGACUUGGGGUUUUUAUUUAUUUUGACCUAUUUUAAUAUUUAUUUUUUUGGGAGGGUUUUGCUGCACACCAUAAACUUUGAAAGAUAUUUUUGGAUUAUGGGUUGUGUAUUUGUCCAAGCUGUAUUUACAGCUUAUGCCAAAAUAUAUAUAUUUUCUAAUUCUUUUUGGAAUGCAAUCCAAUUUUUUCUAUGAACACCACUUAAAUACUAAUUUAUCAUGCUUAUAUCUUUAACAAAGCCUAAGCAUAUUUGGUUUUUGAAAAUUUUGACAAGUCCAUGCCUAUUUGAUUUAGUAAUACACAUUUAUUUUGUUAUAGAAAAUUCUGAAUAUUAUCGUAAACUUUGUUUGUUUGUUUUGUUAUUGAAUUUGACUUGCUAGCUUUAAAAUUAUAAAGACUAAAAAAGCCUAUAUUGGGGGAGGGGGCAAUUAAACGAGUGUGGGAUGCAUGGAUAAAUGCUCUUAAUCAUUUGACCUACAAUUCUUCGGAAAAAAAACUUAAGCCCUUACCUUGUGUGCAUAUAAUUAUUUUCAAUUCACUUAUGUUUUCAGUUUUUUUUUCAUUGGACACUAGGUUUUAGUUGAUUAGGGUGUUUAUGAGAGGAGUAGAUUUUCACUAAGAAUUCUCAUUUAGUGGAAACUUGAUUCAUUAUCAAUAGUGAAUGAUAAAUCUAAAUCCAACCGUGAGUAAAUACGUCAAACCAACCGUCAAAAAAACCUUCUUUUUUAAAAUUCUGUCGUUAAUACUUUCCUAUUUAGGAAAGGAGAAAAAGUGAAAAAAAUCAAGCUGUGAAUUUUAGCAGCAAGAGGCGGCGAGAGCCCCCGUUAUUUGAGUAUCGAGGUUGAGCAAAAAGCCCCAAUUCCAAAUACACUGGUUCAAUUAGGGUUUAACGGAAUUUCCCCAACGCUUGGUUGAACAAUUCGCAGCAAAUCGCAAUGGCUCGUAACGAAGAGAAAGCGCAUUCAAUGCUCAAUCGAUUCAUCACACUCAAAGCCGAAGAGAAGAAGAAGCCAAAAGAGCGACGCCCAUACCUGGCCUCCGAAUGCCGAGACCUCGCCGAGGCCUCCAAAAGGCGGCAGCAAAUCAUGGGAGAGAUUGGCUGAAAAGUCGCCGAGAUCCAAAACGAAGAGCUCGGCGAGCACCGUCUCCGCGACCUCAACGACGAGAUCAACAAGCUCAUACGAGAGAAAGUUCACUGGGAACGACGAAUUGUUGAGCUCGGAGGUCCUAACUACGCGAAACACGCCCCUAAGAUGACGGACCUCGAUGGCAACAUCAUCAACGUCCCAAACACUAGCGGCCGCGGCCCUGGGUAUCGGUAUUUCGGCGCGGCGAAGAAGUUGCGGGGAGUCAGAGAGCUUUUCGAGAAGCCGCCGGAGCUGAGAAAGCGGAGGACGAGGUACGAUAUAUACAAAAGGAUAGAUGCGAGCUAUUAUGGGUAUAGAGACGAUGAGGAUGGGGUUCUGGAGAAGGUUGAGGCUCCGGCGGAGUGGAAACGGAUGGAGGAGAUAAGGAAAGAGGCAAGGAGGGCGGUGAAGAGUGGGGAGGUGGUGUCGGUGGCCAAGGCGAAGGAGGUUUUGUUUGAGAGGAAGAGGAGGUGGUUGAGGAGGAGAGGCAGAGAGAAAGGGAAUUACAAGAGAGGAGUGAGAGGGAGAAAGAGUUUGUGGUGACGAUAAGGAGAUUGAGAAGAUGGUGCUGGAGAAGAAGAAGAAGGAGCUGCUGAGCAAGUAUACUAGUGAUGGAUUGUUGGAGGAGCAGACUUGAGGCUAAGCAGAUGCUUAACAUUCAGCGCUAGAAUGCAGACACCUAGAAAGAGAAAGAGUAUGUUACUGUGUUUAAUUUGACUCAUUGACUGAUAAAAAGUUGUUUGUUCUUAUCAUAUAUCAAAUUGAUAUUUAAGAUGGAUUUUUGAUGUAUUAAUGUUCUGGCAUAAGUUGAAUUCUCUUUGGUUAUUGGUAGGCUUUGCUAAGUAAGUGUUUGUAAAGUAUUUAGAUGGUGGAUUGAGUAAUAGUUGUCCUUGAUGAUGAAACAAGUUAUAUUUGUCACUUUGGAUUUAAUUUCAAGGAGCUAUAAUUAUCAGUUGAUUAUGACAAGUUUUGUUAGCCUUUCUACUACAUGUUCUGUUCUUUUAUCAAAGUUUCAUUACUUUCUUUGUUGCUGAGUUUACCUGGCUACCUCUUUCAAAUUAUACUGUAAGCUUUGUAAACAAAGAACAUAUCAGCUAUUUAGUUUAUACAUGAUUUGUACUCUUUAGUACGAGAGCAAAUUUCUAAUUUUUCUAAAGAAAGAAGAAUAAAAGAUUAGAGAAAAGUAGGUUUCAGUAAGAACAAUUUAGGAGUACAAACAUGAAGAUUUGGAUGUGAGUUCUAAGAAACAACCAAAUUAUACUCAUGCUUGGUCUCUGCUCUAAUGAUAUUAUUUACAGUAUUUGUGUGAGCUGAGAAAUAUUGCAUGCGAGUAAUAUGACACAACAAUGGUUUGGAAAGGAAAGUUGAUGUUGGUUUUUUCUGGAACUUCAACAAUAACAUAUGCUUGGAGCAAGCAUGAAGGUUUGUUCAUUGUGCCGUACAUAUCACGUAAAACAUUGUCUUGAGUUUAUUGCCUACCUUUUUCUUACCAAAGAAAACUGUAUAUUGCUUUGUGUAUAAAAGAAGUUGCUGGGUUGCCGUUGAUUGUUGGGCACUUAUUUAUUUUAUUAACCACUGGUUGUGGAACUACAUGUUAUGAACCAUCUCCAUUCUUUAGUGAUGGUUGCUUUGAGAUCAAUAUGUACCAUCCACUAAAACUCAAUCUUUAAAUUUUGAGAUAUUUAGUGAUAUACCUAUUUCUAGCACUAAUAUUAUAAAUAAAUCCUACAAAAUUGAAUUCCUAUAAACAAACUCAAAAAAAAUCUAAAAAAUGAGAGCUGGCCUUAUUGAAUUUAAUAUUGAUUAUUAAAUUACUUUGAUGCCCUAUUGAGUGCUUUGGGUAUUUUUAUGAGAUUUUGGGGUUGGGCUUGUUUUAAGAAAUUGAUGGCAGUUUUGUAAUUUAUAAGAAGUUAAAAGCUUUUUUGUUAUGUUGUAAAUGGGCUUUGGGUGUGUUUCUAAAGUCCAUUUUAUGUAGGGUAUUUUUAUAAUUUGGGCCCCCAUAUUGGGUAUAAUAGUGAAUCUCCCUUAAAUUUUCUGGUUAUAUUGCUCUCUGGGCCUGCCAUGCAUUAGUACAAAGGUGUCUACCUCUUUAGUUUUGGGCCCUUGGGGUUCUUCAACUCAUUGUACAGGCAGCUGAUUAAAAGGUUGGGUGUUUUGUUCUUACUAUUUGAAAUAAAAAAAAUCAUCUGCUGACACAGUAUGACGACUUUUCGUUGGUGGAAACUUUAGAAUGUCGAGUGGAAAAACGAUCGGAUGCUGUGGUGUAGGUUGAUCUCGCAACAUCUUGUGAUGUUGAUGGCAUACAAGUAUAUGCAAUUCGUGAUAUGAUUAUGAGGACCAGAGGAGCAUUGGUCACACAAUUGGGGAAUUUUAUCAUCAGUCUCUCCUGGAGGAGCCUGCUAGUUUUCGCUACUUUCACAAGCUUUUAGUGCUCUUCAUCAAUGUUUGAGACUUUACAUGUGUGACCAGAACAGAGAAGAAAGAAAUGUGCAAAGCAUAUGAACUCUAAUCUAAAGGCAUCCACCAUAGGAAUUGAAAACAUGUACACGCAAGAAGGCAAGAAGGCAAGAAGACAUAACCCUGAAACCUCCGUUAACAUCUGUAUGUACUCAUCAUAAAACUAAAACUACAUAAAAGCCGAAACCAACAAAUUAAACAGAACCCAAACACCAAAAAUUACUAGAAAUCAAAGCCACCGCCAAAGUCAUCACCACCAAACCCAGCAUCAUACCCAGCAUCAUAGGCAGCCAUCUCACCAACAUCUCCAAUCAUAUCUCCAAUCAACAAACCACCCAACAGUCCAGCUCCCAUGCCAAGCGCCAUGUUGCCUCCUCCCCUCUUAGGCUUCUGCGGCGGGUACCCAUAGCCUGACUGAGGCGGGUAACCGUACCCGGCCUGCGGCGGUGGUGCGUACCCAUAACCCGGCUGCUGAUGAGGCGGUGGUGGGUACCCACCAGGCGGCGGGUACGGGUAAGCUUGGGCAGGCGGAUACGGACCCGCAUGGGCCGCAGGCGGGUACCCGGAGCUUGACCCGGGAUGCCCAGAUGGGUAAGCCAUCACGGGCUCAUGGGUUUUCUUAUGGGCCUCAGGAACAGGAACUGUGAACUUGUCCCCAAAUUUGUACCCGAAAUUGAUGGAUCCUUUGGGCUUCCCACUGGAAGUUCGAACGCUGUAACCGACGUGCUUGAUCUGCUUCUUCUGAUCAUCACCGCCGCCCAAGCUGUCGAAGAGCUCCUUGAGGGGGAUUUGGACUUUGCCGAUCUUGGUGUCGCCCAAGCUGCGCUCGGAGACGAGCUUGAUGUUGAGAGUGAGGCGGUUGUGGAGCAAAGCGGCGUCGUCGAGAGUGAACUUGAUGGAGUAGUUGUUCCACUUAGGGUUUGUGCCGCCGUCUUUGGCGACGGGGGUCUUGGUCGUCUGCUUCUUGUUGCGGGGGUCGCCGGAGACCGAAACGGCGGCGUAGACGUCCAUCUUGGAGAACAUAUUGACAUCCUUGAGGUCGCUGGCUGAGACGAUUGUUAUCUCCAAAGGCCUGCACUCCAUGACGAUUGAAUUCUUGAGUUGGAAACUUGAAACUUGAAAUCAGAGAAAGUGUUUGAUAUUUCUUUUGAUUUGCGAACUCGAGAACUGUGAAUUGGGAGUUGGUAUGGAGAGCAAAACAAUAUAUAUAGAGGAGCAAAGGCAGGGCCAGGUUCUGUGAAGCUUCUAUGAAUUUAUAAUUUUUUAUUUAUUUCAUUUUAGUUUUGGAUAAGUGGUUACAAUUUAUUUCAGCUUUUUAACGCAAUAAAUAUUGUGAAAUUGUUCCUAGAAAGAAUCUUUCAUUACGCGUAUUGUUGAUUUAUUAUUUUGGUUUAUAAAUUUACGCGGAUGCGCGUGACAUGUGAGUUUUUUAUUUUUAUUUAUUUAUUUAAUAUGGGAGCGUGAUACACAAUAAAAGACAGGAAAUCCCAAUUGUAUAUGUAUUAUUUUGUUGUUACCUAAUUGAACUUAAAAUCCUAUUUUGUGGCUUGCCAUUUGGCUAAGAUUCACGGGAAAAUUACCCAUGUCAUUAAUUAGGUUUAGUCUUCAAAAGAUUGAUUAAGGAAGAGGAAGGAAGUCAAUUUGCUGAUUAAGAUGUUAAAUGGGGGAAUGGGGCCCGCCACAGUCUCACAUCGAAUAGAAGAGAAUAGAAAGGCUGAAACCACGUAAGUGGCGCGUAAGCCUGCCUUCCUUCAUAAUGCGAGUAGCAACAAACAAAGUGAUUGAAGGCCAGCCCCCCUCUGACGUCAUAUUGAUAUUGAUAUCGAUAUCGACUUUAAAAUUAGAUGUAUCAAUCAAAAUAAAAUUCUUAUUUUUCCUUUUUACACAAGAAUAGCUGCAUAAGAAAGAAAGGGUACGAACAUGGGUAUGGGUACAAGGGACGGACUCAUUAUCUUGACCUAACUUUACGAUCUAUAAUAAAUUCUUAAACUUUAAAUACUAAUUUUAUUCAUGUGAAACUUUAGAUGCUAAUUUGGAACCUAAUGAGCAACAAUGAAAAAGAAAAGAAAAGAGUAAACAAAAAUGAAUAAUAAUGAAAUACCUGUCUCCAGAUGGCCUUGUUGGUAUUGAGUUAUCAGUUAGAGCACCCCAGCAAAUCCCCAUAUUUAAUCUUUAUCUUUGUCUCUGUCUCUCCCUCCUGGAUUCUUUUAUUAUUAUUAUAUGAAUACAAAGAGGUAGAUGGUAAUGGUUUGCUGUAAAUAUUUAAAGCUCUGUGAGAGACGAUUUCAAUCUCAAUAUUUCUUCAAAAUCCCUUCCUUAUUAUGUUUGACAAAUUUGUUUCCUUGUUUCUGUUUAUCUGUUUAUUUUUACCGACUUAAAUUCUUCCUCCAUUGCACUCCACCAGCGCCGACUCUAAGCCUCUGGUUGAUUUGGUAAGUUUGUUUUAAUUAUCACCACCAACUCCCUAAUUAAAGAAGCCUUCUUCUAAUUAGGCUAUGCAUUCAUUUAACACAAAUCCAUAACCAUGGCUGCUUCUAGUUUUGGUUACGAUACAAGUACAACAACAGUUAAAUUAGGAGCUUCAAAUCUAACCCGUUGGAUUUAUUGGAUGGUGGGGAUUAAACAAAAGGGUCUGUUUUACAAGUCCCCACAUUGGAUAUUGAAAGGCUGGAAACACGUAAAUGGUACGUGUGAAGAAAAGGCAGCCGCUUUGCUUUGAUGUGAUCUUUUUAUGCUUACGGGAGAAGGAAUAGUUUGAUGUGAUCUUAUCCACCCAAAAUUUAAAAAAAUCGUAAUUAGGAUAAGUUCCAAUUCCACCGCUUUGUUGGUUGAAAUGCUCAUUCUUCUAUACACCUUUUCGAACUUUGCAACUUGGACGAUUAAGGAUUUGGAAUUUCAAUAACAAAAGAAUGGAAUUACGAAGUGUCUGGUGGAUGCUAGAAAAGUUUAAAUAUUGUAAUGAAGGCAUAAUGGUUAACAUUGUCUCAAUCAUCAACUCAUGUUCUUUCGCAUGUAAACUUUUCAUUUUUCUUUUAUAAAGUUUUUAUGCCAAUUUUUAACAAAAUUCACUGUUAUUUUACAAUGUAUCAUUAAAUGUAUUUUUUUAAAAUUUAAUUUAAUAUAAAUAACAAAUUUUAUUUUAACAAACAUGAGAAAGAAAACAAAGUAAAAUCUCACUGGUUAUUUUCCGAUAUUAUAAAAAGUGAGAAAUGAAUCUUCCAUUUUCAUAUUGGGAAGUUCAAAUUCAGAAUCUUUCUUUCAUUUUCAUCUUGGGAAGUUCAAAUUCAAAUUCAUUCCGUGAAUCAGACGGGGGCUUAGGCUUCUGCUUCUCCAGCGAGUACUGCUUCUCCAGCGAGUACCCGGAGCUUGACCUGGGCUUAGGCUUCUGCUUCUCCAGCGAGUACCCGGAGCUUGACCUGGGAUGCCCAAAUUUGUACCCGAAAUUGAUGGAUCCUUUGGGCUUCCCACUGGAAGUUUGAACGCUGUAACCGACGUACUUGAUCUGCUUCUUCUGAUAAUCACCGCCGCCCAAGCUGUCGAAGAGCUCCUUGAGGGGGAUUUGGACUGAGCCGAUUUUGGUGUCGCCCAAGCUUCUCUCGGAGACGAGCUCGAUGUUGAGGGUGAGGCGGUUGUCGAGCAAAGCGGCGUCGUCGAGAGUGAACUUGAUGGAGUAGUUGUUCCACUUAGGGUUUGUGCCGCCGUCUUUGGCGACGGGGGUCUUCUGCUUCUUGUUGCCGGGGUCGCCGGAGACCGAAACGGCGGCGUAGACGUCCAUCUUGGAGAACAUAUUGACAUCCUUGAGGUCGCUGGCUGAGACGAUUGUUAUCUCCAAAGGCCUGCGCGCCAUGACGAUUGAAUUCUUGAGUUGGAAACUUGAAACUUGAAAUCAGAGAAAGUGUUUGAUAUUUCUUUUGAUUUGCGAACUCGAGAACUGUGAAUUGGGAAUUGGUAUGGAGAGCAAAAC
rnacentral:lncRNA from 1 species